UUUUUUUUUUGUUCAUUAAUUAUGGAAGCUUGUCUUUUUUAAUGAGGAAGAUGGAUCUUGCAAGAUUUGGUUGCUCAGUAGUCAGUAGUAACAUCCACUCCAUUAUUUGUUCAUGCUUCAACAGAAUUUUCCCAUAUGCAUCAAAGCCAUCCACCUCAAGAGUUGAGAUCCAACAAAGAGAUGGGGAUUUCUACCACUAGACAGAGAAAGAGAAUAAGGAUUUCAAGGAAAGAGGUCACCUUGAAAAUAUGAUGAAGUGGGGGGGUUUCUGCUCUGGUCCCUGAUAGCUAGCUGUCAGAAUGGAAUAUCACCCGCCAAUAUAAUAAUUAAAUUCACAUAUUUCUAUGCAGAAAUACACCUAGACAAAUUAUGGGUGAGGCACAACACAACAAUGCAUGAAUUUGCCUGGUCUGUUGGCUGCCCAUACUGAUUCUUCUCAAUUGUUUUCUUCAAAAAGAGAGAGAAAAGAGAAAGAAAAUUCAGGAAACUUGAAAAGGAGGAAGCUGACCAACCUUGUCACCAAAGAAUUCAAACUUGAGAAGCCCAUCAUGGGCUCCUAGGCGUUUUCCUGUGCACGCAUAGUGGACUGCAAAGGGAAUUUGCAAAAAGGUGUAGGCCAGUCCAAUCACGGCUACUGAAACCAUGUACCUGCCCACAAUGAGCUACCUAUUUUAAACAUUUGCUUUAACAAUCUGUAUAUAUAAUUAUAUGUACUCAUAUGUUUCAUAUCAAUUAAGAUUUACCUGUAGGAAUACACAUUUUUUAACCUAAUUUUUACUUCCGUGAAGUCGAUCUUCAUGGUGGCAGAGUCUGUGGCUAUGACUAUGAGAGAUGCUAGGAGGAAAAUCAAGGUCAGGAGCCUCACCACAAGUGAGGUUAUGGUCAAGGCCUUCGACCCGGAUGAUUGGGGCAUUUUCCCUGUGUUGCCAUCCUUUAUACCCCAUACUUUUUUGUCAUGACUUGACUCAUUUAUAACACUUAAAAUAUGAGGGAACCCUAUAGAGAUAUGUAUGUAUAUUUAGUAUUCAAUAGAAACAAGAGUCCUUGUAUGGUUACUUCUGGUGGAGGGAAUGAGAUUUGUCCUCCCUGGUUUCCUCUGUUGGUCCUACAAAGUCGAAAUCAUAAGAGAGGAUGUAAGGUGUGAAAGAAGAAAGAAAGAGUACUGAUAUACAUAUCUUCUUGGCAACUAGGAAGGACUUUGUUUUAGUACCAUAAAAACAUGCAACCACUCACAUGGGCUUUCUCUCUCUCUUUUUCUCUUUCUUUUUUCCUUUCCCCAACCACAUUAUUCAACCCAUUUGAUCACUUCGAAAAUCGCAUGUGCCAGCAGAGACAUCGAUUUUACAGAUGUCAGCAUCUCCCAUGAGGCACUGCCACCCACCAUUUUUAGAGACCAGAACACUGUGUGUUGUAUUUUCUUUUGAAAUUUGUCCCAAAGGUUCAGCAUAAGAAGUAUCGGCAAAUUUCAACCUUCACCCAUUCACGACUGUCCUACAAAUUUGAACUGUUUCAAUCUCUUAGUUGAUACGAACGUCGAAAACAACUUUACGUACAGUUUAUACAAUCAAUGCCCAGAAUGGUUCCAUGACGUCUCAUUUUCUAGUAGAUCACAUUAUUUUCUAGAGGAGAAAAGUUGAGAGAAUUCUUAGGAACUUGGGCCUAAGAAGACGACACCAGUCACCGUUACACCUCCUAGGCAAUGCAGCUCCAACCCCUUCUUCCCUCUCUCGUCUUCCCAUCCGAACCAAAUGUCUCUAUGGGAUAAGCCAACUCCUUUAGUCAUAUAUAAAAGAAAAAACGAUUGCUAAAAAAUUGGCUAAAUAACCCUUUUCAAGUUUUCAUGCCCAAUUACCCACAAUUGAAACUCGAGAAUUAUUUCCCAAAAAAUAUAAAUUUUUAUGAUAUCUCAUAAGGAAAAUUACUAGGUUACAGACAUUUUUUAAAGUCAUGAGAACCUUUUUAAACUUAAAAUAAAUAAUAUUUAUAAAAUUAAGUAUAAAUCAUUACAAAUUUCUUAUUAAAUUUGAAUAAGUGAUUAAUCAGAAUAUAAAAGUACGUGAAGACCUUGAUCAUUUAACCGAAUUGAGGGGGACACAAAGAAAUGAAUACUAUCAUAGGUUAAUAAUUUAAUAACCUAGUUAGUAAUGGAAUUUCAAAUUGGAAUGACAGAUAAUCCAAAGAAUACUAUUUAUAGGUGUGGGACAUUGUUUUAUAAAAACCUGUAUAAGAUAAGAUUUAUGUCAUAGUCAGUUGGCCUUAUCUCCAUUUGAUCCUUCCAACUCAAUACCACCGUUACGUUACGCUGCCAGUGAUUUCUACAACGAAUACAAGGAAAUAGAGACAAAAUUUGCCAGGUUUCUUGUCUGCCCAAAUACUGGAACUCCAGUAUUUAUUCUGUCUGCUUAUCAAUAUCACAACGAAUGCAGCAAAAAUUAUUAUUGCCCAUGUAUUAUGGCCAUUCAUGAAACACUUGAAACACUUCAGAUUCUUGCCAACUGGGAUGCUUCAAUCAAUAUGGACUCAAACUGUUCAACAAGCUUCUCUCAUCUCCAUAACUUACUGAUUUGAAAGCUUGUUUUUCUCACGAAUCUCACCCAAAAUCUUGUUUUAUGGAGUACUACUACUUUCGGUGUUUGAAAUGAAAGCUGGUUUUGGAACUGUUUUUAAAAAACAAUUUUAUGUUUCUAGACUUGAAAACGUUUUUAAUAAUUUUUUUAAUUGAAAACAGUUUUUUGAGAAUUUAUUUCUGAAAAUAAUUAUUUAAAAAAAUAUAUUUUCAUUAUUUUUUAUUGUUUCUACUGUGUUUUAAAAAUUGCUUUAAAAAUAAUUUUAUUAUAAUAGAAUUAUUGAAAAUAAAAUAUUACAUAUAAAAUUUAUUUUAAAGAAAUAUUUAAAAAUAAAAGAUAAGUUAAAAAUCUUUCAAAUUCUUAAAUAAAUUUUCAUUUUAAAAAACCAUUAAAUAGAUAUUUUUAAAAACAUUUACAAAUAUUUUCUUAAAAGGGGUUAUCUUAAUAUUUAGAAAACUCACCAUAUUCAAUGCUUUUAUUUCAAAAAAAAAUUAAAAUUAAAAUUUGUUUUUAUAAUAAAAUUGAGAGCUUCUCCACCUUGAGCCCAUGGGCGAUAGAGUAUCGAGAUUUAUGGAUGUGGACCUGACUGUCCAGUCGUUAUGGGCUGGACUUAACAAUGGGCCCAUAUAAAUAUGAAUUGGUCUUUUCAGCUUCAAAUUUUGGAUCUUUGCUAACGGUUAAACUUGGAUAGUUUGGUCCGACCCAAUUCGAACUGGAUUUAAACAAUCAUUUUCAACACUUUGGAUUUCGGUUCAACCCAAUUUUAAUGUUUUUAUAAUAUUAUCUUGUAUAACAAUAUUUUUAUUUUAGAUUUUUAAGAAAAAUAUCAAAUUAUAUUAUAUCAUAUAUAUUUUUUCAUUUCUAUAUUAAAUUUUAUUUUAUUUACAAUUCAAAUUUUCAUAUAAAUAUAUAUAAAAAAAAGUUUUUUUAAACAUAAUAUAAAUGUAUUUUAAAUCAUUUGGAGUUCAUUUGAAAUUGUUCUUAAAAACAGUUUUCUAUUCCCAAACUCAAAAAUAUGUUGAGUAAUUUUUAUAGAAAAUAGUUUUAUAAGAACUAGUGUUUUCUAAGAAUAUAUUUUAAUUAUUUAUACUUGUUUUUUAAGGGUUAUCUUAAAAAUAAUUGAAAGAGAAUUAUUAAAAAUAAAGUAUUACUUAUAUUUAAAAAUAUGGAAAACAUCUUGAGAAUGUUUCAGGUUUUCAAACAAACUUUUAUUCUUAAAAAAACAUAACAAAAUUAUUUUUUAAAACGUUGCAAAACACCUAUAAUUUUUUCUUUUCAAACCCAAGAAGCAUGAUAAUUACGAAGAGAAAGUGUCUAGUGAAGUCUCUAAAUUUGAAGAACCGUUUGUAGAACUAUUUUCUUAAAAGAGGUUAUAUUAAUAUUUAGGAAGCUCAGAUAUCUUCAUAUUUUCAAAGCUGCAAGUACUUUAAAAAUGGGGAAAAAAUCAUUAUAUUCCACUAUAAAAAUAAAAUUUUAUUUUUAUUUUUGCCAUUACGUAAUAUCGGAUGUUUAUUCUCCAUUAUCACCAAAAAACAUAAACCGGAUAUAUAUAUAUAUAUCAAGCAUUAGAAAUACAUGCUUUCCUAUCCACUUUGGAACAUACCUGAAUCCAUUGUGUGCUUGAUGAAGAAGUACGGAUCUUCUAAGACUACAGAGGGGUAUCUACCGUUUAUGUAAUCUCUUUGAUGAUGGGAGGGGAGAGAGCACGUUUUGUUCUAUUCCAAGAUAUUCAAAAGGGAACAGACACUUAACCUUAUAUACCCUCUAUGUCUUAGGGACCAUACCCUUUGGACUAUUGGGCUUCACGUGUCUUAGGCCCAUCAUUUAACACCCAUGAUGACAUUGGGCUCUCUACACAUAAGGUGGUCCAUACUUUAGAAAACCGAUACAAAACAAAUACGUGAAUGUGAAUAGCUUAAUCACAAACUAUGUUACAUAUGUCCGCCCAUAUUUCAACACGUAAGUCUUAAAGCUGAUAAAAAAAUUGAGAGCUUCAAGCCCAUGGGCUACAGAGGAUAGAGCUCUUAUGGAUGUGGACCUGACUCUCCAGUCAUUAUGGGCUGGACUUAACAAUGGGCCAGCCAAAUAUGAAUUGGUCCUUUCAGCUUCAAAUUUUGGACCUUCUUAGCCCAUAGGAUAUUGACCCAGGGGGCCCUCAGCACUAGUGCUAUUUCUCAGCUGACCUGGGUUUGAUCAUGGGGUUCUGAACCUGAUUGAAAAUUGAAUUGAACUGAUUAUGAUCGGUGACAGCAGCGCAACUCUGAACCAACAUUUCUUCCAUGCCAUGUCCCGCAUGGCUGUAGCUGAUAAGGUAGUUGUGAAAUCAAGUAGUGCUUUUGCUUGGUUUAGUUUUAUUUUUGUUUUUUAUUUUGAUUUUGUGUUAUUGGUGGUAGCUGAAAAAUCUCUCCCACUCAUGAUGCAUGUUCGUUAAAAUGCCUAGUAGACAAUUACUCAAUUGAAUUCGCAUGUGGAUCUGUGAUUGGUGGCUGAGAAAACGAAAAGAAAAGAAAAGAAAAUUUUCAUUUCCCAAACAGGCCCGUAGCCUGUGGAAUUAUUUUCCUUUUCCUGUAACCGAAAAUACCAGUGCUUAUAAAUUUGCCUAUAAUUCAGGAGCAAAUGCAUCAGUUUGAAACAUGGAAGUCACAUCACAUUCUCUUACCAUCUGUUAGGAAGUAGUCAACAUAUCUGAAAGAGAGAAGAGAUGCAAAGUAGAUACAAGCAACUCUUAACAGCUGAAUCACAAAUCUUACAAACCCUUUAUCUUUCUAAUCAUGAUAAACAAUACCUUGCAUGGUUCAACCACUAUUGCUUGCAUUGGAAGAUCCAGGUAUCAGCUCCCUCAACAUGGCUACCGCCUGCAACAUAUUAGGCCUCUUGGAGGGGAAGUCUUCCACGCACUGCAUUGUUAUGUCUAGGUACCUCACCAUCUCAUUAACCUCUUCAGCUUCGGCUUCAUCAGUUCCUUUGGUGACUGAAAGCAGCUCUGGGUCUAUUACUUCCAUUCCUUUUCCUUCUUUCACUUUCAUUUUCACCCACCCCACCAAGUUGGUGUCUCCAAAAUCCUCCUUAUCAGUGGGUCGCUUCCCCGUCAAGAGUUCCAAGAGAACAACUCCAAAAGAAUAGACAUCUCCUUUAGCCGUGCAGCGGAAGCUUUGAUAGUAUUCUGGAGGCACAUACCCAGGUGUGCCUGCAAGAGUGCUCACACUUAGAUGUGUGUCAAGCGCACUUAUUAGCCUUGCCAUGCCAAAAUCAGAAACUCUAGCUUCCAUUUCAUGGUCCAGUAGCACAUUGCUUGACUUCAUGUCUCGGUGUAUAAUGUGUGGUAUACAAUUGUGGUGUAAGAAACAGAGUCCUUUAGCUGCGCCUCUUGCAAUUUUUUUCCUUUCCUCCCAUGUUAGAAUACGUCGAUCUCGUGCCUUUGCCUUUCCAUGUAGCAUUUCUUCUAAGCUUCCAUACUCCAUGAAUUCAUAGACAAGGAGUCUCUCUUCUCCAACCUUGCAGUAGCCCAACAGAGGAACCAGAUUCCUAUGCUUGAUCUUCCCCAGAGUUUCCAUCUCAGCCAUAAAUUCUCGGUCUCCUUGGCAACUCAAUCUUAUGAGUUUCUUGAUUGCCACGCUUGACCCAUCUUUCAAUGUUGCCUUGAACACUUCCCCGAACCCACCACACCCAAUAAGACUUGCUGCUGAGAAGCCAUUGGUAGCCUCAAUGAGUUGUGAGAACCUGAGUUUCCUUAGCUGCCUCUGAAAAGUCGCCACAUUAAUGCUCAGUGGCUCUUUCUCCUUGUCAAUCUUCCAUGUUGUGGCUGCAUGGCAUGCUUGCAAGCUAUUUAGCAUCUUGACUUCUUCUGCCUCCUUCCGCCUUGCACGCAUAGCAAUUGCCCAGACAAUCAGAAUGCAGAUAGAAGCAAUGGAAAUGAGAACACCCAAGACAAUGCUGUUGGCCCAGGAUGCAGUGGCAGGUCUUUUGCCUCCUUUCCCAGCAGUGUUAUCUAUAACUGUUACUGGUUGAUUGUCAUCAUUUUGGCAUUCAGGCAAUGGAACUCCACAGAGCCCUGGGUUGUUUGCAUACUGGCUUGCAGGAAGUGUGCUAAGUUGCCCCCUUGUUGGAAUUUGCCCUGUUAAUUCAUUAUAGGAUAGAUCUAUUUGGACUAAGAAAGAGAGAUUUGAGAAUGAGUCUGGGAUAUGACCUUGCAAUCUGUUAUGUGAUGCAUCAAAUACACCUAAGUUUCUGAGCUGCCCAAGUGAUGAGGGGAUCUCUCCAGACAGCUGGUUGUGGCUCAAUUCAAGAACUUGUAGAGCCACCAUUCCCCCAAUUUCAUCUGGUAUUUUUCCCCGAAGCUCGUUGUAGGAGAGAUCGAGAUACUCUAAAGUCUGGUACUUUGUAAAGAGGCUUAGGACUGCACCAGAAUACAUUCUUGUAAAAUCACAAGUCUUCAAUGUUGGGAUUUGUAACAGCCGUUCAGGACGAAUUCCAGCAAAUUCCAACAAGCCUCCAACUCCUUUACAUGAAUUCCCCAAAUUCCGCACAAAUGCCAGGGUGUUUCCAGAGAGAAUUCCACUUAAUGAUUUUGCCCCAAGCUGCCUGCCAAGUCGAGGCGGGAUUUCCCCGGUAAGUCUGUUGCUAUUCAAGUCCAACCAUACCAAGCUGCUGCAAUUUGCUAGCUCUCUUGGUAUCUGACCACUCAAGCUGUUGUUGCCAAGCUGCAGAACCGCCAGUCUACUCAAAAGGCCGAAUUCUGGUGGAAUUUGGCCAGUGAGUCCAUUGCUUGUGAGAGAAAUCCAUUCCAGAUUACCGCAAUUGAACAAUUCAGAUGGGAUUUUACCACCAAGGUUGUUAUUGUUAAGGAUAAGAUCCUUAAGGUUCCUGCAUUUUCCCAACUCUGGUGGGAUUUCUCCAUCCAAGGCAUUGAACCAAGCUAUUAGCUGCUCAAGAUUCUCAAGCCUCCCAAUCUGUGGUGGAAUUGGGCCUUUCAGGUAGUUUAAGCUGAAAUCAAUAGUCUUCAGCCUUGAACACUGUGACAAUUCAGCUGGAAUUUCUCCACUGAUCAAAUUGUCCGGGAUUCUCAGCUCUUCUAGUGAAGCAGCACCUGGACAUAUAUCUGGUGGGAUGAAGCCAGAAAGCUUAUUAGAACUGAAAUCCACGACCUUUAGGUUUUGGCAAGAUGAAAUGGAAGCAGGAAAUGCUCCGGAGAUGUUAUUGUAGCUCAACAACAAGGUCUCCAAUGAGGCAAGGCUCUGGAGGAUGGAAUCUGGGAAGGGACCGGAAAUAUUGUUGUUGGCCAAAUUAAGAAGUCGCAGCCAAGAGCAAGAGGAGAAAGACGCUGGAAUGAGACCCGUAAUGUUGUUAUUGGAAAGGUCGAUUUCUUGGAGUGACCCACACGUAUUUCCCAACUCGGAAGGCAUCCAACCAGUGAGACGAUUGCGGGAGAGAUCCAAUCUUUGUAGGUUUUUGAGGCCGCCGAAAGAUGGCGGGAUCUCUCCCGUCAAGUUAUUGUAGGACAAAUUCAAAGUGUUGAGACUGGUGCAGUUGGAAAUCGAGGAUGGAAGUGAAUCCAUUAGAUUGUUUCCCGACAGAUCCAACACCACCAAGGAAGUGCAAGAAUUCUCAAUUUUCAGGCCCGAGAUGGAACCCGUUAGAUUGUUAUAAGAGAGGUCCAGAACCUGCAGCUUAUCGGAAUUCAAUAAGAGAUCAUCAGGGAGAGACCCCGUUAAAUUGUUUAAAGCAAGAGUGGCGGAAACAAGAUUCGGAAGCUUGGAGAAAAGAUUUUCAGGAACUAAACCAACCAGCCCGGCUGACGACAGGUCGAGCUGUGUCAAUCCAACGGGAAGUUGAAGCAAACCAGUAGAAUUCACAUAAAAGAGAUUACCAGAAAGGCUCAAAACAGACAACAUAUCUAAAGAAGCCAAGGGGUAGAAAGAGAGAGUUCCCUCGAGUUUAGACCCGUUGAGAUCAAGCUGAGUGACACGUCCCAGAGAGCAGGAAACCCCAUACCAGGUGCAUGGACUCUUAUUGGCCUGCCACCCCUCCAAAACUCCAUGCGGGUCCUUGUGAACCAUCUUCUUGAACGCAAGAAGUGCCUCCCCAUCCGUCUUCGUCGACCCGGACACCCCUCGUAGCUCAAUCCCAGAAACCAACGCACAGAGCAGCAGCAGCAGCUUCAGAACACGAUGAAAGAAAAGCUGAAAGGGGUUGCUCUCCAUUGAAGAAACAAGUUUGCAGAAAGACAGGCUUCUGUGAGAGAGAAAGCGGGAGUGGCGAGAAUGAUGAGAAUUUGUUGAAGCAAAGGGCUUUAGAAAAAGAAGGGUGCUUUUGAUUUGAGUUUUAUAUAAAAUGGCGAAAAAAAGGAGGGAACGUGGGGGUGGAAUAACAAAAAAGAAGGGCGGAGAAUUUGGUUUGAGGUUGGUGGGUGUCUACUUAUACGCUUCUUCUCCAUUCAGUACUAAAACACUGUGAACACACCCCCCUUCUAUUCGGAGUGAAGCCUUGGAUUUGACUUUUGGUCAAAAGGGCUGGCCCCCACCCGACAAGGUCUAUCCAAGAUCGGCGCUUUAUAGGAAUAUAUACAUCGAUGUGUUUGAUGAUCCAACACUCAUUUCCUGCCAUCAUGCGUGAGGAAUGUUUCCCAUGUAAGUUCUGGUAUAGCUGGGUGUACUUUUAUCAUUGGAUCAUGCGUUAACUUCCACCGUUGAUCCUCAAUUUUCUUGUUGGAUCACCCAAUCAAAUUGCUACCAUUAUUCUCAUCCUUUUCUCAAGUUUCCUCGAUCUAGUGGGAAAAUAGGAAAAUAUCUUAGGCAUAAAAGUUGACAGUGAAAGGGAGAAUCCAUGCUGGCUUAUAUAUAUAUAUAUAUAUUUUUUUUUUUUUCUUCUGUGGGACGGACAUGAAUCAUCACAAAUCACAUCCCAGAUUAGAAUAACACAAUAGUGGAGAGGUCUCGGCUCAGUUGGUAUAACAACCCGGACCCGAAUCCAAGUUGCCACAAAUGGGUUUGCGCAAUUUUUUUCUUUUCUGGUAAUUAAGAUGGCAAGAGGGAGUGACGGUUGGGGCCCAGUGGAGAUGGGGGAGUCAAUGAUACAGUUCAAAAAUGGAGCAUUAGUUGUAACGUUGCCCACUCAAAAAUUAGACUAAAAAACAUAACGUGGUGGCCCACGUGGGAACAAAAUCAAUGCUCUCUGAGGUUAAUGGCAUUGGAGGUGAUGAUGCCUCCAACUCCUUCCCUUCUUUAUUUAAUCCUUUUCCUCACCCUGUUGCUCUUCUUCCAUUAAAGCCAGAGUAUCAACUGAUCCUGCUUUCAUUAAAACUGGACCGGCUUAUUCUGUAUCCAAUCCAUUUUAUUUCUUCUUUUUAUUGGGUAAUUAUUAUUGGACUCCCACUUCACAGGUUUAACUCAGAUCAAGUUCCUAAAAUUAUAACAAACCCAAGAUUAGUUUCACUAGAACCAUGAUCAUAUUGUCAAAACCGUCGGUGCCAUAAGAUUAAGAAAAAAAGAAGCCUACAAAUAUCAAGGAGACCAAAAAGAUGACACUACGGAAAAGAGAGCUCUUUAUCUACAGUCCAAAUAUAAUUUAAGGCAAUACGUAUAGGAUAAAGUAAGAAAGUUUUGACUAGUUGGUAGAGAGUAAGUUCUCGAGGUUAGCAUUGCUAAUGGGGGAGGUUAUUUGGGGGUUCGCAUCAAUCAAUCAUAUGGUUAAUGAUAAAAUCUCAAUUCGAGGAUAUCAGUGCCAGCUGAGGUGGGAGACGGAGGGCCAUUGAUGACCACCGGUGGACUUGCCCUACCAAAAAAGCUAGCCUGCUCGCACAGUGGGAGGGCCAUGAGCAGAUGAUCAUCAUCAUCAUCAUCCAUCCAACUCUCUUCUUCAACCCCUACUUUCCUAGACUUAAGAGCACUACAAAAGGAGUCCAUUCUUCAAAGAAGAAACCUCUUCUGAUGAUAAUGGUGAAUUGCAUUUUGACCGUUAAAAAGUUGUCCUUUUGUUUUUAUUUUCGUUUCUUUGUUUUAAAAACAUGUGCUAUUAUUGGAUUUAUAAUGUGUUCAGCUUAGUGGCCCCUGGAAUCAUGAUUCCAAAGUGUGUAUGAGAAGAAUUCACAUAUGUCGCUGGUGUUCUCAUCACAAUUCUUGUACCAAAUCUGAGAACCAUCCCCAUUGGCCACUUGAAAGCCAUCUUCCCCUGGCAACCUGUUUUCUGAAUUAUCAUUUGAGGAUUCUUAUUUUUCAGAUCACCCAUUAUUAUUAUCCUCAUUUAAAAAAUAAAAAAAAAUUGUUUUGAGACUUGCUGUAAGCAUUAGGUCUUUGAGUUGUAUUAGCCCCUAGAUAAAGAUCUUAUGACUACAAGAAAGGUUAAGAAAAAGAAAAAAAAAAAAAAAAAACAUACAUUUUUGAACACUCACGACCUCUGAUCAUUAAUUCGGCCCCACUUAGAUCUUGGUAUUGAAAUCCCUUUCUCUACUGAUCGUUAUUGACCAUAUGUUUAUCUUAUUCUUUUACGAGGGGCACAGCAUAUUCUUUUAUAACUAUAGGUUAAAAAUCAAAAUAAAGCACUACAUCGGACGGUAACAAAAAUGCAGAUGAGAUGAUAUGAUCCAAGUGCUUUUCAAACAAAUCAAAGGAGUGGGAUAGCAUAGUUUUGCUUUUUGGCCUUUUUUUAUUUCCAUAAUUUUGGGGGAAUAUAAAAAAGGGGAGAUGGAGAUGGGGGGGUGGGAGACUUUUGAUGGUUGUGCGUAUUAGAAAUAGAAGUAAAGAGGAAAUGUAAUGUCAAAUAUUGCACGCUGGAGGGACCCCCGAUAUCACUUCCCACUAUGGGAUUUUUACAGAAUCCAAAUGAUUGGUGAUGACCCCGAAUACCACAACCCUUUUUCCACCUCUCUCUCCUAUUUUCUCUCUUUAAUCUUUGCAAAGAAAUAAACGCCACAAACCCUUUUUCAAAUCAUGAAAAAUGAUUCCCUUGGCGUGCAAGCCUUGGUUGGGCUAUGGUGUCUCUCAAUUUUUUAGAUUUUUGGUGCACUACUGUUGAGUUGGGCCUUUUGGGAUUCACGUGGACGGUUGAUCCCAUAAAGGCUUCAAGUUGUGGUAUGAUCUCGCUUUAUUCACAAUCUACUCUGCUCUUACACCUUGAUUUUUUAUUUUUCUCAGAAGAUUUGUUGAUGGGCUUUUCCAAAACAGAUCGGUUGUAUGAAUACUUUUUGUUUUUGUAAGUUGAGCAUUGGGCUGGUGCCUUUUAUUGUAAAAGCACGUAACAGCUAUAAUUUGGAAUUCUGUUGUUUGAAAUGAGAAAAACGAGAAACUAUUUUGGUUCCCAACAUGAGACAGAUUUGGACGCCACAAGAUUAUUGCUGGAUGCUCUGUCAAGCGUUUGACCGGUUCAGUUGUGACACACCUCUGGUUCAAAUCCUAGGAGAAUUUUCUUAGAGCAGCAAAAGCAGCCAGGCUCUAUCCACAACAGUGAAAAUUAGGGUACAAGGCAUCAUCAGUAAUUAGAUUCUUUUGUCUCAGAGUUGACCAUUUUUCUCAUACAAGCAAAAAGAGGUAUGGACUCCUUUUUUAUUUCCAUUGAAAGAAGAAGCCGCUAAGGACCUCGUGACUAACUACAGUUAACAGGGUGGGGAUUGGGAUGAGGGCGGUGUAACCCUUAUGAUGGCCUUUCCACAUGCCAUACCCCACUCCUUCAAAGCAAAGUUGCCCAAAAAAAAAUCAUCAAUUUGCUUUAAUUAGUAAAAAGCCUGCUUUUAUUCUGUCAUCUGUGUAGGCUUAAGGGUCCACAUGAGAAACAGAGGGUGGGUCUCAUCUUUAAGGACUUACAGUGAAAAAGGAUGGCCAUGGGUUGAUCUUAUCUUCAAUGUGAAAAAAAAAAAAAAAAAAAACCAUCUCUGAUGAUUCAAAAGGAUGAAGAUACCUCUCCUUGAGGGGAAGACAGUGAACUCUAUUCAAUUCUUUUUCUUAUUUAAAUUUGAGCCAGAAAGAUGGAAUAAUAUACAAAGGACUGCAGAAAUGAUAAGACUAGUGCUUUUUUUUUUCCUCUGCAUGCAAGCCAUCACCUCAGAUGAUGGCAUCCUAUUUAAACACAUGAUCUCGAAUAUUUUGCAAUCUUGAAUUUGUUUAGUCAUACGAAUGUACAUGGAAGCACCUUGUUUGUGGAAAAGGUUUGGAUAAACUUCUCAACAAAAAAAUGUUUUGGGCCCGUACCAGUUUGGGCAAAUUUAUUCAUUCGAACCUAUUGAUGGUGAGUCCUUGGUAUGACAUAAGGUGAGCCACAAGGACGAUAAGGUGUCAAGGGGGAGGGAAGAAUAGAUCAAGGGGAAUGUAGGAGGGAGCGAAACGACAAUGGUCCUUCAUUGAGGAUGGAGCAGCGCAGACUAUUUGAAAGGGACCCUUGGAGAUAGACUCAUAGGGAUCCUAAACCAAAAGCCUCUUACUCUUCUUGUCCUCUGUACAAAUGAAGCUUUGAACUUUUAAAUGGAGGCUAAGGUUGAAUCUCUUUGGUUGGUGAGACUCAAGUAAUAAAAGGCCUUUUAAAUCAGGGAUGGUAAUUUUGACACUAUACAACAAUAUGAUGCAAGAUGCAAAAUGAUUCAAAAUUUAUUAGGUCAAGUUAGGUAUAAUAAUGUUUAUAUUAUAAUCAUAUCAAGUUGUAUAAUUUAUUUAAUAGACAAGUUUGUGUUCCAAUUUAACUAUUUAACGUGUUAGAGAAAAUAAUCAAAUAGGUACAUAUUUUAAUCUAUGCAAAUUUAUUAAUUUCAUAUAUCUAAAAAUUAUAAAUAUUUAAAUAUUUUUAAUUAUAAAUAUCAUAUCAUAUAACUAAAAUAUUAAAUAACUAAUGUGGUAUUUAUCGCAUUUAUUUUUUAAAACAAAUACAAAUUUGUAUACAAAGGCAAAACUUCAACUUCUAUUCUUAAAAGCUCUUUUCAAAAUUUUAAAAGUUUUGGGAAGUGAAAAUGUUGUAAUUCCUUUAAAAGACUUUUCAAUUACAUAAAUGUCUUUACUCACUUUUGGUAUAAAAAUUUCUACAUUUUAUAUAAUACUUUCUAUUUCUAAAAAAAAAAAAAAAAAAAAAAAAGAGAGAGAGAGAGAAGAGUUCAAAUGUGCACUAACUAAAAAAAAUCUUAUAUAUAUAUAUUAAAUAAAAUAAUAAAUAAGUGUAGGAUUAAAAUUUUAAUUUAUUUUCUAUAUUAUAAACAUAUUAUAAUUAAAAUUUAACAAUUAAAUUAAUUAAGAUUUUAGAAAAAUAAAAAUUUGAAGUUAAAACAAUUAAAUGUAUUUUAAAACAAUACUUUAAUAAAUUUAAAUUUUUAAAUGGUUCAAACAAAUUAUAAUCAUGUUAAUAGAUUUAAUAUGUUAGAAGUACAUUAAUAGGUUCAGUAUAUUAUCCUUGUAUUAAUGAGUUAUUUGCAUGAAUUCAUACAUAAUCCAACUUAAGCAAUUUAUUAAAUAGAUUAAAUAGUAUCGUGUUGUAUAUUUCAUAUAAUAAGUGGAUUGUAAUUGUGUCGGGUCAUUCUAAUAUGAUUAAUAAUAAGUUGUAUUUGAAUUGAAUAAAUUUCUACUAUUGUUUACCUUAAUACGAACUAUUACUAUUGUUGAGAUAUUAUGAAUGCUUUCCUUAUAUCAUUCUUUCCUUAUAUCAUUUAGUGUUGAGAUAUUAGGAAUAUUGAGAUAUUAUGAAAGUUGGGAUAUUAAGAUAUUAGUUGUUAUUUCCUUAUAUCAUUCUUUCCUUGUAUCAUUUUUUCCCAUUCUUAGAAUGGUGAUUACCCUCUAUAUAUACUCUAUACAUGAACGAAUGAAAGAAUGAAUGAAAAAACUAUCAUUUAUCAAUUUGAAGAUGGUAUCAGAGCCAUGAAACUGAAAUCCUAGAUAUUUUGUCGCUAUGGUAGUCCGACAGCGAUAAACCAUCCUAAGACAAGCCUUAAUAUUGAUAAGUCCACCUUCAAAUGCACUCACUAUAAUAAGACUGAUCCCACCAGUAUGGAUAUCCCAUAAUUUCAAAGCAACAACUCUUGGUAUGACCAGGAAAAAAAUGAGGAACCGAGGGUUUGAACCAUGGACCUUUAGAUCAUGUUUAGGCUAUCAACACUUUGUUAUUAAUGAUAAUAAUCGUGAUCAACGGAAGAAGGAUUCAAAGAAAACCUUGACUGCAACUAUUGCCGAAAUAAAAACAGAGGCUAAUGUUGCUAAGAAAGCCUUUGCAUUGGUAGCUGCUAUAGAUCAUGGUGGUAAGUUUUUAAAUACUUUUACACAUGGUAUUAAUAGUACAUGGAUAAUUGAUUCUGGUGCUACAGAUCAUAUGACUUUUGAUUCUAGACAGGUUUUACCCCUUAGACCUUCCUCACAAAAAAUUGUUUCCACAGCCAAUGGUAACACAACCGCAGUCAUUGGGGAAGGAUCCUUAACUCUUACUGAUACUUUGAAUUUGGAUUCUAUUUUAGUUGUUCCAUCUUUAGAUUACAAUCUUUUGUUAGUUCUCAAAUCACUUCAACAUUAUCUUGUAUUGUCAUUUUUUGGCAUGAAUUUUGUGUGAUUAAGGACAUCUAAACAAGACAGACGAUUGGUUGUGGUAUUAAGCGGGGGAAACUCUAUUACUUGGACUUGCAGUCAAAGGGUUCAAAUAAGUUGCAACAAGCCUUGAUGGUAGAUGGAUCUGAGGGGGAGAAGAAAAAGUCUGAAAUUUGGUUGUGGCAUCAACGUCUAGGACAUGCUUCCUUUGGUUAUUUAAAAAAAUUGUUUCCUAAUUUGUUUACAAAGAGUGAUAUUUCUAGUUUCCAUUGUGAUAUUUGUAAAUUGGCUAAAAGCCAUCGUGCUUUGUUUCCGUUAAUUUUGAAUAAAAGUUCAUUUCCUUUUAUGGUUAUACAUUAUGAUGUUUAGGGCCCAUCUAAAGUCCCAACUUUGAGUGGUUCACAUUGGUUUGUUACUUUUAUUGAUGAUUGUACCAGAAUGACAUGGUUAUGCUUGAUGAAGACCAAAGAUGAAAUGAACUUGUUGUUUCAAAAAUUUCAUAAAAUGAUUGAAACUCGGUACAAUGCAAAGGUUCGGGUUCUACGUAGUGAUAAUGGUGGAGAAUAUCAAAGUUCUGAUCUUCAAAAGUAUUUGGAAGGACAUGGCAUCAUUCAUCAGACUACUUGUUCUAAUACACCCCAGCAAAAUGGAGUCGCUGAACGAAAAAAUCGGCACUUGUUAGAGGUUGUUCGUGCUUCCUUGAUAGCAGCAAAAACACCGAUAUCUUAUUGGGGAGAAACAAUCACAUCUGCCACAUACUUGAUCAAUCGGGUACCUUCCAACUUAAUUAACUUCUAAACACCUCUUCAAGCUCUUACUAAUGUCGUAGUUGCCCCAAUCGUCCCAAAUCUACCUCCUCGUGUUUUUGGUUGCGUGGCAUUUGUGCAUUUACACAAACACCAAUGCACCAAGUUAACUUCUCAUGCAUUGUAAUGUGUGUUUGUUGGAUAUGCAUUGCACAAAAAGGGAUAUCGAUGUUACUAUCCUCCAACUCGACGAAUGUAUAUUACAAUGGAUGUGGUGUUUCAUGAAGAUUCGAUGUAUUUUUCAUCUGAGUCUGAACUUCAGGGGGAGUACCAUAAGGAAAUUUAGACUCUCGAUUAUGAUUAUCAUAUCUAUGAGGAGGAUGAAUCUGGACAAUCUGAACUAGUGAACCAGGAAGUGGGUAAGUUGGAUAUGAGUGGUUAACAAUGUGGGCUCGAAGAUGUCUUCACUGAAAUACCAAACCAAUCGUCGUCUGUUGAGGGUGUUCUUAAUUUGGAACUUGAUCCAUUCAUGAAACGAUUACCACACCGUCAUAAUAGAGGUAUUCCUAAACCCAUAUAUGAACCUGAAUUGUCUACCAAAGUCAAAUAUCCCAUGAGCAACUGUGUCUAACCAUCGUUUGUCUGAAUCAAAUAAGUCAUUUGUAAAUCAAUUAUCUACUGUAGCUAUUCCUAACAGUAUGCAGGAAGCCUUAGCUGAUCCAAGGUGGAAAGCAGCCAUGAAUGAAGAGAUGAAAUCAUUGCAGAAGAAUGAAACAUGGGAACUCGUAGAAUGUCCACCAGGAAAAAAACCAGUUGGGUGUCGUUGGAUCUAUACUGUGAAGUAUAAGGCAGAUGGUAGUAUUGAACGAUUUAAAGCAAGACUGGUAGCAAAAGGGUACACUCAAACUUAUGGAAUUGACUACACAGAAACAUUUGCACCUGUAGCUAAUAUCAACACAGUUCGAGUAUUACUGUCUUUAACUGCAACCCUAGAUUGGCCAUUAUAAUAGUUCGAUGUGAAAAAUGUCUUUCUGCAUGGUGAGUUAUCUGAAGAAGUAUAUAUGGAUCUUCCACCAGGAUGCAUGGUGUCAGAAAAGCAAUGUCAGAAGGUGUGCAAAUUGAAGAAGUCAUUGUAUGGGUUGAAGCAAUCCUCAAGAGCAUGGUUUGGAAGGUUCACAAAGUCAAUGAGAGCUUUUGGCAAUCGUCAAAGUAAUUCAGAUCACACUUUGUUCCUGAAAAAGCAACAUGGUAAGAUUACGACACUCAUCGUAUAUGUGGAUGACAUGGUAGUUACAGGAAAUGAUCCUAAAGAAAGAAAAGCUCUGCAAAAUUAUCUAUCUAGAGAAUUCGAAAUGAAAGAUCUAGGUCCUCUAAAAUACUUUUUUGGGAUUGAAGUUUCUCGAUCAAGUGAAGGAAUUUUUCUGUCUCAAAAAAAGUAUGCUUUAGAUCUUUUACAGGAAACUGGAAUGUCGGGAUGUCAACCUGUUAAUACACCAAUACAAGAAGGUCUGAAAUUGUGUGUUGAGCCUAAUCAAGGAUCAACCGAUAAAGGAAGAUACCAGAGACUUGUGGGGAGAUUAAUGUACUUAGCUCAUACAAGACCAUAUCUUGCUUAUGCAUUAAGUGUAGUGAGUCAAUACAUGCAUAAUCCUGGAGAGCAACAUAUGAAUACAAUCAUGCGUAUUUUGAGGUAUUUGAAGAAUGCUCCUGGGAAGAGAAUUUUGUUCGCUAAAAAUGUUGAUCAUUAGAGUAUAAAAGUAUAUACUGAUGCUGAUUGGGCCGGUGCAGUGAAUGAUAGACGAUCUAUAUCUGGUUACUUUACCUUUGUAUGUGGUAAUCUUGUGACAUGGAAAAGUAAGAAGCAAAAUGUCGUCGCUCGUUCAAGUGCAGAAGCGGAAUUUAGAGGUAUGACUUUAGGACUUUGUGAGGCAUUAUGGCUAAGACUCCUUUUACAGGAUUUAGGUUACCUAUCUAGGCAACCAAUCCGAUUAUUUUGUGACAAUAAAGCCACAUGUGACAUUGCUCAUAAUCCAGUACAACAUGAUCGUACAAAGCAUGUCGAGGUGGAUAGAUUCUUCAUUAAGGAAAAGUUGGAUGAUAAGAUUGUGGAAUUGCCUAAUAUUCGAUCAAAAGAUCAAUUUGCCGAUAUCCUCACCAAAGCUGUCUCAAGUCAAGUGUUCUCAAAAUUUUUAGACAAGUUGGGCAUGUGUGACAUCUAUGCACCAACUUGAGGGGGAGUGUUGAGAUAUUAGAAAUGUUUUCCUUAUAUCAUUCUUUCCUUAUAUCAUUUAGUGUUGAGAUAUUAGGAAUGUUUAGAUAUUAAGAAAGUUGAGAUAUUAGGAUAUUAGUUGUUAUUUUCUUAUAUCAUUAUUUCAUUGUAUCAUUCUUUCACAUUUUUAGAAUGAUGAUUACCCUCUAUAUAUACUCUGUACAUAAAUGAAUGAAAGAAUAAAUGAAAAAACUAUCAUUUAUCAAUUUGAAGAACUAUAUAUGAAUCUGUAUUUUUCAUAUAUGUCCUCAUUCUUUAAUAACACUUAGAAGUUGUUUAUUUUUUUAACUUAUCGCUAAAAGUAAUUUGUUUUUCAAACUUAGAUGAUUUAUUUUUAAUUUUUUGUUUGAUUUAUUAUUUAUUUUUAAAUAUUUUUUAUUAAAUAAAAAAAUCAAAAUAUUUAAUUUUUUUUAAAUGAAAAAGGUUAACUUCCUCGUUCCUCAUCCCCGCCGACUAAAACAUACUAUCAACACUUAUCCCUCGUCUCAUCCCAUCUUAGUCACUUAGUUUUAUACUUUGUCUAGUUCAACACCAUGCGCCUAUUGCCAUUACCACCACAAGUGUCUAUCAACAUCCCACCUGCAGCCACUCUCAUUUCACUGACACAACAAUGACUUAAUCAAAUUUAAUUUUAAAACAUUUGAUUUUAAUUAUAUAAAAUAAAAAUUAUUUUUUCAAGGAUGAUGGUGAUAUAUUAAUUAUUAUAAUAAUUUAUAUUAUUUUAAUUUUUUUUUAAAAUAUGUUAAAUUACUUUUUGAUUAAAUAAGAAUUAAUAUAAAAAUUAUUUUUCUUAAUACAUUUAAAUGUUGAGCAUAUAAAAAAGUAAACAAAUUAACACUUAAUAAAAAUAAAAUAUUAAAAAAAUAAAUAACUUAAUAUUUAAAAUAAAUUAAUUAUUUUGAUUUAAUAUUUAAAGCUAUUUUUGAUUUUAAGUUAUGAUGUUAAAUUUAUUUGACCUUUUUAAUGACUUAGAUGAACUUAUUUAAUCAUUAAGUUGAUUUUCCAAAUACCUCAUAAUUUCUAUCAUCGGUUUUGUAGGUGCUUAAAAUUUGAUUAAAAGCAAAUAAGUUGGUCUUAACCAACUUUUAUUUCUUGCAUAACAAAGGACCCAUGAAAAUGAGUUCACACUCAAACAACGCAGAAAAGGAGUAGGGAAAGAUCCAACUUUUCACCAUCAUACAAGGUUUUAUUCGUGGACUUUUCUAAUUCACUAAAGUUCUCCGUCCCAGAAGUCCUCGAGGGAUUUGUAAGGACCAUGUUCUGAUACGAACAUAGGUGCAAGAAACCCUCUUUGCUGUUCAAUAUCAUCGAUCUUUUGGGACUCUUCCGGGCUCAACUUCCAAUCCAAUAUCUCAAGGUUCUCUUCUAUCCUCUCCUUGUUGAAGCUCUUCACCAGAAUACUCACAUCUUGCUCCAAAGCCCACCUCAAACAUAUCUACAUAAAGCACCAAGAAUUAGAUCAAAAACAAUAUGAAUCUAUUUUUUAAGAUACCCAAUUACCUUUAUUGAUAGAUUAUAAUUUAUUUUAAAUUUACUUCAAAUUGAUCUUGAUUAAUUUUUAAUUAAUCAUGAAUUGAUAUAUAUAUUAAUUAUAAAUGGGUUUAUUAAUUUCAUUUGACUUAACUAAGGGUUAGACUAAAUACAUCUUAUUACUAUUAGUUUAAAAUUUUAUCAAAUACCGUUGUUUAUCAUUCUUAUUUAUUAUUUUAUUUAUUUUUUAAAAAUUCAAAAUAAAAGGGAUAUUUGAUAAAAUUUCAAAAAUUCAAAAUUCCUAAAUGCAUUUAAUCAGAACAUUAGGGCAAGUGAUUAAAAUAAUAAUUCAUAACUCAAAGACCCAACCAAGAGCAACAAGUUAAGAUCACACAAGAAGUCCCUUGAUAUGCCAUUAUCAUAUUUCAUGACUAUGGUAAAACCUUCAUAAAAUAAUGUCAUUAGGACUAAGAAAAAUUAUUAUUUUAGCAAGUUAUUGAUUUAUCAAUAAAUAAAUAUUUAAUAAAUUUAGAUAUUUAAUAAAUUUAGAGAGAGUAUUAUAUUUUUACUCUACAAUACUUAUAUACUUAUGGUUUAUAAAUCCAAAAAUAAUGAAUAUUGUCAAAAUUUAAUACAUAGAAUUCUAAAACACUCUAAAGAAAGAAAAGGUGAUUAUUAAUCUUUUUAUUAAUAAGAAGAUAAAAAUAUUCAUAAAAGAAAUAAAUUUAGAUGAUGUUUGGUAAAAUUUAAUACUUAUUAUUUAAUGAUUGAAGUUUAUUUUAAUUUUAAUUUUUCUUUGGUUAUUGAUUUAAGACUUAUUGUUUAAUUUAUAUUUUAAGUAUUAUGGUUGUUUGAUAAAGUUAAUUCAAAAUAAUCAAAUUGACAUAUUUACCAUCAUUAACUUUAACUAAUAUUUAUACUUUUACUAAUUUUAAAUAAUAAAUUUAUUUGUUAAAAAAUUAUAUUUAAAUUAUCAUUAAUACAUAAAAUAAUUAAUUAUAAAAAUAUUUUCUAUAAAAUAUGAAUUACAAAUGUAAUAUCAUGGUUGUUAAAUAUACUUUCACUAAACAUGAACAAAUGAUAAAAAUAAAAUAAAAAAUAAAAAAUUAAGAUUAAUAAUAAAUUAACUAUUUUAACUUAAUACUUAAAAUUAUUUUUUACUUUAAAUUAUAAUAUUAAAUUAUUUUAUCAAAUAUACUUAAAUUAGUUAAGAACUUAAUGUCUUAAGAAAUAAAGAAGUUUCAAAUGUGUAAAGGUUUCAAGAAAAAAUUGAAUGAAAAAAAAAUAAAAAUAGUAAAAAAACUACUCAAUAUAAUGAAUUUCUGUUUAUUAUAUUUUUUUUUAUGAACUUCGUCGGAUACUAAUUGAUAUUCCAUUAAGCCCUUAAAUAUUUGUUAAUAUAAAAAUUAUUAUCUUAAGUAUUUGUCGAGAUUAUUAAUUUAGUACAUCAAAUUGGGCUAAAAGUAAAAGAUUUUAUUAUUUAAAUGGGAUUAUUAAUUUAUAUAGUAACAUUAAUGACCAUUCUUAUUUGAAAACUGUUUUUAUUUUAUUUUAUUUUGAGAACAUGAUGACUUUAAAAAAAAAAAAAAAUUGAAGUAUAUUUAGUUAUUUUUUAAGAACAAACUCCUGUAAAGCCAAGAGGUGAGAAAAAAAAUGGAGAAUAAAUAGAAAAGAUUGAAGCAUUACCUGAGCUACUGUCUUUCCUUUCGCCUGAGCAAUCUCUUGCAGCACCUUACAGUCAAGGACUCGGUUAGUUCCCCAAAGAGUUCCUCUGCCACCUAAUGGGGAGUAGGCUGUGACAUGGAUGCCCUUGCCAUUACAGAACUCCCUCAGCUUCUUCUGCUGCCAUAGUGGAUUCAUCUCCACCUUCUCAGAACAUUUCAAAGCAUUAGAUUCUUUGACAUAAUUUGCAACUUUUUUUCUCAAAUAUUUCAAAGGUGAUCUUAGAUUCUUUGCCAUAGUGGGUUUGCUUGGGAAUAUUUUAGAAAACAAUUAUCAAAAAAUGAUUCUUAAUAGCAGAUUUUAAAACCACCUUAAUCAUUUUCAAAAACAAAAUUAUGUUGAAAACUUAAAAUAUGAAAAUUAAUUUUCUCAACUUAUUCUAAAAGUACGGAUACAAUGCUACAUUUCUUAAGCUAUUCUUCAUAAUUUUAAUUAUGGCUUAGGACACUAUAAAAAACAACUAAAAAUACUACAAAUUUAUUAAAAAAUAAUAAUAAAUUUUUGUAGAAUAAAUUCUAAAAUAAAAUUACGUUGGGGAACUUAAAUUUAAAAAUCAACUUAUUGUAAAGAUACUUUAAACUAGUCGUAUAGUGCUAAAGUUUCCAAAUAAAUUUUUACAUUUUUAAUUAUUGCUUAAAAUAUUGAAAGGAAACAAUGAAAACAUGGUAAUUUUUUUUUUUUUAAAUCUAAAAAAUUAUUUUCGUACCAUUAGCUCAAACAUGAUUGUCCAAUUAAAAAACUAAGGACUAGAUUGUUACUUAUUUUAUGUGGUCUAUUUAAAAUAUAGUGAGAUAAAUAUAAAAAACAAUUAAAAAAUAAAAACAGAUCCCUAUAUAUAUAAUUUAUUUUUUAAACAUAAUUUUAUUUUAGAAAACAUCUUAAAAGCUAUGAAAACUAUCUUUUAUACAAAAGUUGUCAAAACGUUAUCACCCAUACCCUAUUUUUGGAGUCCAUUACACUACAAAACUGUACUUUUUUAUACUGACUUAAAAAAUACUCACUUGAUUGACAGCGGGUGAAAUCUUUGCAGUGACCAGCAGGUCCUGCAGCUUCUUGCAAGAAAAGUUGCUUACUCCUAUCAAUUUUGAUAGACCGAGGCUUUGACACUCCUCCAUGGCUUCCCAAACAGACUUGAAAUCCAGAGGAAGAAGAUCCUUCUCUUCAAAGGGCACCUCACAACUCCCAGGCUUCAAGCUCACCGGGAAAUGUAUGAGGUACAGAUCAAGGUAUUCCAACCCAAGAUUCCUAUACACGUACGUCAACCAGAAAACUUAUAAGCAUGAAUAAUUCGAGUAUGAGCAGAAAAUCAAAAAUGUUUUCAACAUUAGUUUGAUAGUUGGUAAUGUAAUUAACUUGAGAGUUCUGCGUAGUGCAGGGAGGACUAGGUCAGGGUGUGCGUCGGUGCACCAAAGCUUUGACGUGAUGAAUAGCUCCGCCCUUGAUUUGAUCAGGCCAAGGCCUAAAGCUUCCGCAAUCGCUUCACCCACGGGAGGCUCCGAGUUGUAAAUAGCAGCGGCGUCGAUGUGUCUGUAGCCCAGUUUGAUGGCAUGGAGAAUGGAUUCUUUCAUGGUUUCUGAUGCAGUGAAAGGAAAUACAGCAGUUCCAAAACCCAAGAGUGGAAUUCUAGCAUGGCCUGAGCCCACCGGCUUGCCGGCAAUAUCAGCCAUUUUCUUUGAUCUACUUCUCUACAAGGCGACACCCCAUGACCUGAUUUUGUAGCAUGGCCAGAGCCAAUGUCAUCAAUGGUCGUACUGCUUGACAGCCUGUGUUUACAGACAUAUUUUUAAUGUUAAGGAACGCUUUUAAUUUAAAAAUAAAAAUAUUUGAUAAGAUUUAUAAAAUAUUUUAAAUUUUUUUUAUAAUAUUAAAAAAAACAUUUCAUACUUAUUCUCUUAAAAACAUUUUAACUAAAAAUAAAGCAUUGUAAUUUCAUAACCCGGGAUGCCAUGUUCGCCUCCCAGUCCUGGACUCCUGGGAGCUUCUAAAAUCCUGUGCUUAUGAUUUAACAUUUUUAAAACAUUAAAUACAUUCACAAGCUUCGAGGUGGAGUGCACAUUUAUUAUCUACUACUUUCUUCUGGCAGCAUCUCGGAAACGUAGAAGAAAAUCUGGGGGGAUCACGUUACCAUGCGCCAACCCCAAAUCUUUAACCUUAUUUCUAACUUUUCAAUUCAAGUGUGAAAUGAAAAAACAAAUUAUCCUUUCGUAUGCUCAACAGUAAUUUUAAUUUUUCUUCAAAAUUACCCUCCCGCCUCUCCCAUUCCACCAAAAUCUGCCGCCACCUUGCUGACGUCAUCAUCCACGGCCGCACAGCUCUCUCCGACGUGCAAUUUCUCUUCCCCCUCUCUCGGUUCUCUAUUUCUCUCUUUUUCCUUCCCUUUCUCGACAACACCACUACUAUUACUGUCAGCGUCAUCACCACUGCAUGGCCGGCUGCCGCUCACAGUCCCCUCCGGCCGGCAACCUCCCUCUCUCUCCCUUUCCCUUCCCUCUUUGUCUCUCUUUCCUUCCAUUUCCACAUCACCACCGCCACCACUGCCAGCGACCACUGCUGCUGCUACCUCUCACAGGCGGCGACUGGCGGUCGGUGAUGAUGCCGACAAAGUGCUGGCCGGUUUCAGCGGGGAGGGACAGGCGGACGGUGAGUAUGAGAAAAAAAAAAAAAAAAAAAAGGAAAGAGGAUAAUUUUAGAAAAUCAUUAUUUAAGUGUAUUAAAGGGUAACUUUUUGUUUUUUCUAUUUAAUGGGGUUGGUGUAUGGUACAUGAUUCUGCCAAAAUCAUUUAGAGCAAGUUAUGGCGCAGCAGGGCGAGGCCCAAGGGGGGCACAUAGGGGCCCCUCUAAAUUUCAUGAGAAGAAGAUAAAAAACCUUAUAAAAUAGAGAUUUAAAAAAAAAAAAAAAAGGAAAAUUGUAAACUUUUGUCCCUCUUUAAAUAUAUAAAUUUAAUUUUCAAUUUUAAAACAUUAAAAAUAAUUUCAUUUCUAUGUUAUUGAUAAAAAAUAAAAAUAAAAAUCUAACUCGCAAGGAAUUAAAUAAAAAAUAAAAUUUUAAAACAAAUUUAGAAACAAUUGGGAAUUUUUUGAAGAUUGGAUGCAGUUACUAAUUCAUGAUGUGGCAUAAACAGAAUGAAAACUUCAUUGUCGAUUCUACGAGAAUUUUUAUGCUCGUAAAUGAUAAGAUUAUUGCGAAUAAAAAUGAAGAUAGAGUCGUAUUCAUAUACAUGAAAAUUAUAUAGGAAUAAGAGCAUCUCGAGAUUCAGGCGAUUGCAGAUGGAUUCGAUAAUCAAUAAUCAGAUGAUUCAAAAGGAACAAUUUUAACAAAAUCUUUCAAUUAAACGGUCUCUCUAACGCAUAAAUGGUUAGGAAAUAAUCGAGUUAGAGCUGUGGCUAUGAGUGCUACAGAUGGUCUAAUGAGAGGUUUCGCUACAGCACCUGCUGCUCUAGCUAAUUGUCCUUAUUUUUUAUUCUCUUUUUUUAUUAAUUUCUCUAUUUCUAAAUAAGAAAAAAAAUACAUAUAUAUUCGAAUGACAUCGAGCCUUUAUUGCAGCCCAUGCUACAAGGGUGGCUACUUCUAGGCAAACCUCCUGGUUGCCUCUACAAAGCCCCGACAUUUAUUACCAGUCAGAAUUGGACCAUAACGGAAUUUCGGUCUAUACCGACACCAUAGUCUCAUUAUGGACUCGUUGAGAAUGAUUCUGACUUAGUUCACGACCUAUUAGAAGUAGAAGGCGCUCUGAUGGGAUCCUCACGAACAGAAAAAGAUUGUAGUUAGUUUGAUAAUGAUUGAGUAACAUUGCUUCAUUUGUCUCAUACACUAUAGGGAUGGUGAGAAGAGAUAUAUUUUACAUCCCAGAGGAGCUAUAAUUGGAGAUACCAUUGUUUCUGGUACAGAAGUUCCUAUAAAAAUGGGAAAACUCCAUGGACAUGCAGAAGAGAAAUGCUAUCCCCACUCAGACUGUUGGUGUUCUUUCCGAUCUCUACGCAUUUCACCGCUCCACCGGAAAUUCCCUCUGCCCAUAUUAUACUCCAGCUUGGUAGUUUCCACCACCUGUUUAGGGUUGAGUCCUGGGAUUUGACGGCGGAUUCCGUACCUUGCUAAAAAACCGAUCCUUAUGAAAUCUAUUUAACAUUCCUAUUUAUUUUCCUUUUUAUAUUCUAAUUUUAUCAUUUAUUUCAUCACAUAUACAUUAUCUUAAUUCAUUUUUCAUUCUUUCCAUUUAUGUAAAAAAUUUCGUUUUUUUAAUAAUGUGUUUUCUUCAUUUUCGAUUCGAAUUUUUUUAAAAUUUUAAUAUUGUAUAUUUAAUUAAAUAAUAAAUUAUUUCAUAUUAAGGGAUUUUAUGCUUGCAUUCAAACUUAUGAUAGAUCAUUGUUAAGUGAAAAAAACUGUCACUUUCAAUUGAUUUUAUACUAACUAAAUAAAAUCCCAAAAUUUGUUGAAGCAAUUAAUAAAUUCUAUAUUAAAAAAAAAAAACAAUUGUGACCUUUUGACUGCAAAAAUUACUAAAAUUAUUAAAUUGGUAAGAUUUCUUCAAUUUUGCUUUCUAAAUCUAAAUUGUACAUAUACUUUUGGUAUUUUGAUUAUUAUAUGUACUAGUAAAAUAAAUUUAUAUUUUAGUAAAACCCACCCCCUCGCCCCCACCCACAAAAAUGCCGAAUCUCGUCUCAAUCAUCAUUUAUCAGGACUCUUCGAAGUAAGUUCAUUGACUUGGACCGGUCUUUGAAUUUGAACGCAAAAAUGAUUUUUUUGUGCAACCGCAUAUUGUGAGCGUAGAUAAUUAUAACCGCGCCUCAAAGCUAUGUCAUAAUAGAUCCGAACACUUGCUCGGAUCGACUUCCAGAUCUAGCACCUGGUGCAACGGCUCCUGGUGCAACAACAAGCACCAGUUUGUAAAACAUAUAAAGUACAAAUUAAUGCUUAAGUUAUGUGACCAUGAAACCAUAUAAAGAAUAACAACAAAUUGUUGUUAUUGAUAUAUUUCAACUAACUUCAAGUCUGUCUUCUUUCAUUAUAGAUGAGAUAAUUUAGUAGACUUGUUAUUUACUACAUUUUAACACCUUUAUAAUUAUCGAGUCUCACAAUUCCAAUGUCGAUAACAAACUAUUAUCAUUGGGAUUAUUCACUAUCAACAUUGCAAAUGAAAUCUAAGCAAAUAUAAUUUGUUUAAUAAUAAAAUUAAAAAUAUAUAUAUAAUCUAAGUAAAUGAGAAACAACAAAGUCUAUUCUCUGAUAAUUUUUGUCCACUAAUUUUUAGUAUUAAAUGGGUUAAUAUUUGAAUUUGAAAUUAUUUUUAAAAAUUACUAAGGUCAAUCAAUAUAAGUCUUACUCAAUUUAAUUUGAAGUUAUUUUCUUAGUAAAAAUUUUGGAAAAUAUAAUUAUGCAUAAAGAAGAAACUAAAAAAAAUUAUUUUAAAUGAGUUUUACCAUAUAAAAUUUUAAUAUUAAUUGCAUCGGUUUUAAGUUUCUUGACUUUAUAAUAUUAAUUGGAUCGGUUUUGUUUUAAGUUAUUUAAAAAAUAAAUAAAAAAUCUCAUAUAAAAAAUCACACAUGUAAUUUAAAAAGAAAUCAUAUUUAAAAAUUUUGAGACAUUAGUUGAUGGAGAGAAAAAAAGAAGAAAAAGAAUUUGAGUUCUAUUUUAUUUACCUUUUAUGAUUUCUUAAAUUAUUUUUUAUUUCUCUAUAUUAUUUUAUUUUAUUUUUAAAAAUAAAUGAAAAUGAUUUCUUCUUAUUAUUUGAAUUUCACUUUGUGUUUAAAAACUCUCCUAUCCGACCCUACAUUUAUAAAUUGGGUGUUGAAUUAUUCAUUGCAAAUAACAGAAAAAAACAUAGAACUCAAGUUGUUGCAGUGGCAUUUUAUUACAAAACAAGAGGGAAAAGACAGACGUUGCUCCACUAGAUUUCUCCGUCCCAAAACUCCUCUAUAGAUUUGUAGGGGCCUUCCUCCCACACAAACAUGUCCCCCGGAAACCCUUUCUGCUGUUCAAGUUGAUCAAUCUUUUGGGACUCUUCAGAGCUUAAUUCCCAGUCCAAUAUCUCCAUGUUUUCUUUUAUCCUCUCCUCGUUAAAGCUCUUCACAACAACACUCGCUCCUUGCUCCAAAACCCACCUCAAACAAAUCUGACGAAGCACCCAAAAAGAAAAAGGGAAAAAAAAGAAAAAAAGUCAGAGGAAUUGGGGGGAUGGGUAAAAGGCCCAAAAGGUCUGAUUAUGUCUAUUUCCCCAUUAAAUUUUGUAUGAUUAUAACCUGAUUGAAUCAUAUUAAGUCCCAAAUCUUUGAUAUUUUCCUUUGUUACUAUCCCAAUAGAAGGAGUAACAACCAUUCUAAAAACAAAGAAGAUUAAUGGGAGGCUUAACAGAUGUCACAAAAAGAGGUGGGGAUAAAGGACAACCUAAAAUUCUAAAGCUUUACUUGUAUAACUGCAUAUUAUAUUAUAUUUUAUUUGUAUAAUGACUUUAUUAUAAAAGUUUAAAAUAAGAUUAUGUGAAAGGUUGUUGGUUUAUGUUAUUUAUUUUUAUUAUUAUUAUUAUUCUUGUUGUUGUUGUGGAUAAAUUAUUUUCAUAUUUUUUUAAAAUUUAUUUUAUUUAUUUUUUUAUUAUAUAAAAUUAAAUAAUUUUAAAAUAUAUAAAUUUCUAAUUAAUUUUAAUUAUAUUUUAUUUUUCUUUAUAUAUUUUUUUAUAAUAAAAUUAAAUAUAAGAAAACAAUUUUUUUUAAUUCUCUUUUUUGUUCUUAGUAUCAUCAACGUAUCCUUCUGUUUGAAUAUUUGAAAGAAAAAAAUAAAUAUUUUAUUAAAGAAUUAAGUAUUUGAUAAAAUUUAAAAAUUAUUUUUAAAAAUUUGAAGGAAAAAUAUUUGAUAAGUGAUUUUUAAAAAAAUAUAAAUAUAAAGAAAAUAUUUUUUAUUAAAAAUACUUUAAAUUAAAAUAUUAUCAAACAUAGAAAGUUGAAUCUGGUCAUAUGACUCUGAGACUUGUCUUGUGUUUCACAAGAAGUUCGAAGAAUCUCGCACGUACCCUAAAUAAUCCAAAGCCCUUGCGGACACAUAGACUUGAGUUGUUUGAAUUAACUUAUCAGUAAAAUUUUAAACUGUAUCAAGGGAUGCAGCUAAAACGCAGAAUGAAGAAGGAAAGGUGAAGUUGUACCUGAGCAACUGUUUUUCCUUUCGCCUGAGCAAUCUCUUGCAGAAUCUUAGAACCAAGGACUUCGUUAGUUCCCCACACAGUUCCUCUGCCCCCUAAAGGAGAGUAUGCUGUCACAUGGAUAUUCUUUCCCUUGCAGAACUCCCUCAGCUUCUUCUGCUGCCAUCGCGGACUCAUCUCCACCUUGAGAAACGCAAUGCAUGCAUAUUGGAAAAGAAAUUGUCAUAUUUGAUCAUUUGAUAUACUUUAGACUUUACUCAAAUACCUUAAAGUAUUUGUAAGACAUGUCCAUCGAAGGCAUUUUUUUUAAAUAGAAAAACAUGAAAAAUAAAAUAGGAAAGGGAUAAACUUUACUGAUAGUCUAAUUCGAAUAGGUCCAAGCUCAAGCUCUUCACCCAAGCAAGCCCAUACCUAUGAUAGUUAUGGUGGAUGACAAAUUUAUAGGCGGCUUUUGGUUUUGUCAAGGCAAAAUGUCAAUACAAGUGGGACCAUGGCAUUUGAAAAUGGUCUUUCGUAUGUAAAAUGAAAAUAUGGGCCCCAUGCUAUGCUUGUAUAUGCGAAGAAAACGUUUAAAAAUUGUCUACACAUUAUUGUUAAAUUUUAAAUGAAUAUAAUUAUUUAUGAUUUAUUUAUAGUAAAUGUCAAUAUAAUAUAAAUGAAAAAAGCUAAUAAUUUUAAAGGGAGUAAAAUAUGUAGCUAUUAAAAUCCAAACAAAUUUAAAUAAUAAAAUCUUAUUUCAUCUUAAUGAUUAAAAGUUGCAUAUUUAAUAAAAUUAAAAUUAUUAAUAGUUGAAUAAAUCUUUGAAUUAUUCUUAAAUUGUUAGUAAUAUUAAUGAUGAUCAAAUAAUAAAAUAAAUUAUAUUUCCAAUGUUUCUAAUUUCCAAUGGUUGGUUCGUCCAUUAAAUUGUGAAUUAAUUAUUUUUUUGAUUUAAUCACUUAUAUGGUUUUGAAAACUUCGUAGGAUAUAAUAAUAAUAAGAUAUUGUCUUAAAAAAAUUCUAGAUCUUAUCUGAAAAAAAUGGUGAUUAUUUUUUACCAAAAUUGACAGUCUUUUCACAAUCAUCGAUGACCAACAGAAGCCGCCCCAAAGGAAGGCAUCUUUAGUUCAAUGACGGCGGCUUAUGGAAAUGAUUACAACGUUUACGUAGAUUCACCCACAAUGAAACCCAAAUGGUUAUAACCUUUAUGCGACGGUUAUGAGAGUGAUGAAGAUGCUGACGCAAAGGAUAAGCCAUUCAAGAGCACUUACCUGAUUGACAGCCGGAGGAAUCUUAGCGGUGGCGAGCAAGUCCUGAAGCUUCUUGCAAGAGAAGUUGCUUACUCCUAUGGAUUUUGCGAGGCCGAGGCUAUGACAUACCUCCAUGGCUUCCCAGACGGACUUGAAAUCCAUGGGAAGCAGCUCCGUUUUAUCGAAAGGAACCACAUAACUCCCUGGCUUCAAGCUCACCGGAAAAUGAACGAGGUAGAGAUCAAGGUAUUCCAACCCAAGAUUCCUAGAAAAUAAAACAUUAACAACUGUGAGUUAAUUUCAUUUCAUGAAUAAAAAGAGCAGAAAAUUAAACAAGUUUCACCACUGGAAAGUUGGUAGUGAAAUUAACUUGAGAGUUUUGCUGAGUGCAGGGAGGACUAGGUGAGGAUGGGCAUCGGAGCACCAAAGCUUUGAGGUGACGAAUAGCUCUUCCCUUGAUUUGAUUAGGCCAAGGCCUAAGGCUUCGGUAAUGGCUUCACCCAGGGGCUGCUCCGAGUUGUAAACAGAAGCGGCGUCGAUGUGUCUGUAGCCCAGUUUGAUGGCAUGGAGAAUGGAUUCUUUCAUGGUUUCUGAUGCAGCAAACGGAAAUACGGCCGUCCCAAAGCCCAGAAGAGGUAGCGUAGACGAGCCAAUCGGCACUCGUGGAAUGCUAGCCAUUUUCUUUGAUCUACACCCAGGAUGACCUUAGCCAUAUACUUAUAGAGAAAGAGAGAGAGAGAGAGAGAGAGAGUCAUGUAUGGAGGGAUUUUGAAAAGGCAAAUUAACGGGAGAAUUGUGUGAGAUGGGCCUCAAAAUUGACCGUACAUUCCUAUCUCACCUCUAAUUAUUUUAAGGAUAUAAAUUAGCGAAGGGAAAUAUUGACCUUUCAUAUAAGUUGUUUUGGUCUUUAUUGCACCACAUUCGCAUAGAAUAAUUUUAUUUUAACCAUUUAGAUUUUUUAUUAUUUUUAAAACUUUUUUAUAUAUAAAUAAUUGAAAAUCAACAUUAUUUUCUAUUUUAAAUUAUAAAAAAAAAAUUACGUUCAAAAACUAUUUUUAAAAAUAAAAAUUAAAACUUUGUUUAGUACUAUUUUUUAUAUGAAAAUAAUAAAAGGAAUUAAAUUUCAUUUAUUGAUUAUCCAUUUUUAUUUUUUUCAUUAAUUAUUUUAAUAAUAAAAUAAAUAAAAAUAUAGUAUGUUCACAAUUAAACAAAAGAAUUGGUCAAUUGUGUGUUUUUUUUUUUGUGACUAUCUUUUACAUGAAAAAUAAUUAAAUAACUAAAUUAUAUAUAUUUAUUACUCUUUUUAAUUUUAUUUUCUCAAUUUUUGUUGUGUAAUAAAAAAUUUUAAUAUAUCCAUAAUUAACAAAGUAAUAGAUUAAUUACACACAUUUUGAUCUAUUAAAAUAAAUUACUUUCUAAUUUAAAUAAAUAAAAUGAAAUAAGUAAAUAAAUUUGAGUUGUUUCUAUUUUCUAACAUAUCUUAUAUUAACAUUUUUUUAUGGUUAAAUAUAUAAGUUUUUUAUUAUUUUUUCUUUAAUUCCAAAAAUAAAAUAAAAUAAAUAAAUAAAUCUGGUAUUUUUUAACCGAUCUUAUAUUUAUAUUUCUUAAGGUUAAAUAAAUUUUUUAUUUAUUUUUCUUUAUUUCCAAAAGUAAAAGAAAAUAAAUAAAUUUGGCUUAAAUAAUAGUUUUUAAGUAAUUUCUUUGUUUUAUUUUUAAUUAUAUUUUGCAUUAAAAAUAAAAUAAAAUAUUAUUUUAUUUGUUUUAAUUAUUUUAAAUGUCAAACUAUUGAAAACAUAAUUUACACACUCAUGUGGACAUAAUUUAUGCAUAUAUAUGAAAUUUAUACCAUUGUACAAGACUGUUACACUAAUUGUAUAAGGAAAAGUAUACUAAUUUAUAAGGGGUAUACAAGAUUGUACAUUUUAAACAAAUUUUUUUUUCUUGUCAUCUAAGGAUUCUACACAUUCCUACCAUAAAUUCUUUCAUUUCAUAUACUUUAUUUAAUUCACAUAUGACAAUUUAAAUACUUACCCCAAUAAUGAUGUUUGAAGAAAAAUUUUAUUUUUACAUUUUAUAUCAUUUUUUAAAUCAAACCAUUUGAAAUAUGGUUCACACAUCAUAUGUGGACACAUAAUAUAUACAUGUGGAUGAAAUUUGUAUCAUUGUACAAGUGUAUCAUACUAACUGUACAAGGUAAAUGUUCUAACUAGGCAAGACAAAUGUCUUAAUUGUACAAAAGGUGUACAAGGCUAUCAUUUGUGAAAGAUUUCAAUCAAUUUUGAACAACUAUUUUUUUUUUGUCAUUUAAGGAUUGCACACUCUCAUGACACACAUUUUUCUAUCACACACUCAUCUUAUGCACUUUAUUUAACUCGCACAUGACAAUUCGAAUACUUAUCCCACUAAUGAUGUUUGAGGGAAAAUUUUGUUUUUCUAUCUUCCAUUAUUUUUUUAAUUAAACAAAUGGAAACAUGGUUAACCCACCUAUGGACACACAUUGAGUAUGAAGUAUAUGGAAUUUGGGUUAUUGUACAAGGUAUUUACACUAAGUGUACAUGACAAAUAUACUAACUGUAUAAGGGUGUAUAAAACUAUCAUUUGUGAAGAAUUUUAAGUGAUUCUAAAAAACUUGUUUGUUUAUUUCCCCUAAUUGAGGAUAGAUGACAUUCCUAACACACAUUGCUUAAGUAUACAUUCAUCUCAUGCACUUUAUCUAACUUGUGUAUGGUUAUUUAAAUAGGUACCUCACUUAUGAUGAUUGUAAAACAAAAUUAUAUAACAAUUUUUCGUCUUCCUUUAAACCAAACCAAUGAAAACAUGGUUAACCAACCUAUUUUCAGAUAUUCAUGAGAUGAUGUAUGAAAUUAGAGUUAUUUUCAUGGUUUUAAAAACCGGACCGAAUCGGCCGGUCCGACCGAUAGGUUGAAUCGGGAUCGGACUGGUUGAAUUGACGGUCUGAUCAGUGAACUGGACGAUUCGAUUAAAUUUUUUUUUCAACAUCAAAAGGACGUCGUUUUGAUGUUUCUAGCAUCAAAAUGACGCCAUUUUGGAGGACCUCCUUCCAAACCUUCCCUUUUCAAACCGCAGCAACUACUGCCCGCCUCCAGGCCCACCCCAACGUGUCGCGAUAGGCUUCCAUCGCUGGUCGUUUCACCUCAAUGGCAGCCACAACUCUACUUCAUCCUCCUCCAACAAUGGCAACAAGAGCAUCAAGUUCAUUAAGAAGACUCUCUCCUUGAUAGACACUAGUUCAAUGCUUUCUACCAAGGUCGUCCCAAAAGGGUUUCUAGCCGUGUGCGUGGGAAAGGAGUUGAAAAGGUUCAUCAUCCUGAUAGAGUAUAUAGGUCACCAGGCAUUUGGGCUUCUGUUGAGGGAAGCUGAAGAAGAAUUCGGGUUUCAGCAGGAGGGUGUGCUCAAGAUCCCAUGUGAAGUGGUUGUGUUUGAGAGGAUCUUGAAGGUGGUGGAAGAAAAGAAAGUUGUGUUCUUCUUGCAUGAGUUUGGAUUGAAUGUAGAGAAGGAGAUGAUCGAUUGUUGCUCAUCCUCAGAUUGUGAGUUCACACAUUCUCACCAUCCUCAAAUGUGUAGGUGAUCAGAAGAUGAGAAAACCAGAUUAGAUCAGAUUUCCUCAUAUUGUUGCUUGUCCCACCCAAUUAGUAAUUUAAAUUUCAAUUUGUAAUAAUAAAUUGGCUGAGAAGAAAAGAAAGAGGCAUCGACUGUAGAUCGCAUAACCCCCCUUCUCCCCUCCCCGAUUUGUGUAGUGGCAGUAGCUGCUCCAACGUUUUAUUUUUAUUUUUUAUUUUAUGUUUUAUUACUUUUAUAUUUAUUAUUUAAUGUGUUAUUUUUAUUUAUUGAUCAUAAUUUUGAUAAAAUAUUGUAAAAAAUUAGAUAGAAUUUAUUAUUUUUUAAUUUUAAUAAUAUAUAAAAUAAUAAAAUAUAAAUUUAUGACAUCACCGAUUCCACCAUCGAUUCAAUCAGUGAACCGUGAAUCGAUAACUUUUCUGAUUCAAUGAUCGGUCCGUUUUUGAAAACAUUGGUUAUUGUACAAGGGUAUAACACUAGUUGUACAAGACAAAUUUAUUAACUGUACAAGGGUGUACAAGACUACUUUUUGUUAAGAAUUUCAAAUGAUUUUGAAAAACUUUCCUAUUUUUUCCACUUAAGGAUUUUUCCCUACUCAAAUUCUCUCACUCAAGAAUUAUUUCGAAUUUUAUUUUUAAAUUUCAUCAUUAAAAUUUUGUAAUUGCAUAUUUUUUUUUUGAGUGAAAUUUUAUCCAAAUGAAUUUAUAUAUAAAAUUAUAAUCAUAUUUAUCAAAAAUUUUACUAAGAUUAUCUUUAAUUCUUUUCACAUAUUUAUACUCAUUUAUUUAAAGAAUAAAAAACUAUUUUUUUUGUAAACAUGUUCUAUUACCUUUCAAGUAAAAAAUUAAAUAAGUUUGGAAGUCAAUAAAAAAAUUAAAUACCAUUUUUAAUAAUUUUUAGAUAAAAAUUUAUAUAACAUAUUUUAUUUGAAAUUUAAUUUCUAAAGUUUCACUAAAAAAUUGUAUUGAUAAUUUUCUUGCUAUAAGUCAAAAUACUUUGCGUUAGUUUAUCUAGAUAAGAAAAAUUAUUAUAUAAUAUUAGAACUUCAUAUCUUAGUUAUUUUUUUUAAUAAAUUUAUCUUUUUAAAAAUUUUAAAAUAAAAAAUAAAAAAUAAAAAAGCUAAAAGAAUAUAUAUAUAUAUAUAUAUAUAUAUAUAUAUAUAUAUAUAUAUAAUAAGAGUGAAGUGAUAGUCAAUUUUUUAAUUUUUUAAAAUAUGGUUAAUGAGGAAAAUAUAAAAAAUAAUUAAAAAUAAGAGAAAAUAUAAAUAAAAAGGCAAUGUAAAUUUAAAAUAAAAAUUAAAAAUUAAACUAAAAGAUAAAAAAUAUUUGGAUGAAAAAUCCCAAAAAUUUUAUCCUUACUUAUAAUAAGAGUAAAAUGAUUCAAUAUCUUUAAAAAUGAAAAAAAAAAACAUUAUUGUUUUUUAUUUGACAUAAAAUAGAAAUAUAGAUAGGAAGACAAAGAAAGAAAAAAAAAACAAAAAGUUAGAAAUGGGUAAUACUUACUAGGGAAUAUAAAAGGGAAAAAAAAUAUAAAAAAUUGAAAUUCACACUGUGUCUAUGUGGGGGAUAAGGAUAUUUUAAGAAUUAAUGAAAGAUAAUAUCCUUCAACUUAAUUUUUACAUUUUAUUUGAGUCUUAGACUUAAAUGUGCAUGAUAUAAGGAUCUUUGGUCAAUUUUGAGGCCCAUCUCACCUCAAAACACAAUUCUCCCAAUUAAAAUAUAAAAAUUAUUUUUUAAAAGAUAACUUGAAAAUUCAAUUUAAGUUGUAUCUUUAAAAAGAGAAUUUUCAAUUGAAUUAUUUAAAAAUGCCAUAAACUUGAAAAUAUUUGAAUUAUUUAAAAGGAUUUUUUAUAUGAGUAUUAAAUCAUGGAGAGAGAAAAAAUGAUAUCAUGUUCAAUUUUAUUUAUUUUUUUAGUUUUUUUUUAAAAAAUUCUAUAUUUUUUUUAAACUAGUAAAAACAACUUCUGUUUGUUUUAUAAAAAUGAGUUUCUAUUUCAUUUUGUUUUUUAAAAUCUAAAAAUAAAGAACAAUGACCAAAUAGUGUUGUGAAUUUUUAAAAAUAGUUUUCAAUAUUUAAAAAUAAAAAAAUUGUUUUUAAUCACACGACCAAAUAGGCUCUUAUAUUUCAUAAUAGAAGCCUCCCAUGUUUGCGGUGGAGCUUAUCAGUAUUGACGAGAAAACCAAGGUGAUAUGAUCUUAGAGAGACUUUGUUGAAUUUCUUUAUGCAAUUCAAGCUCAACCAUUCUAUGAAUUACAUCUGUAUUAAGUUUUUUUACAUUGAAGUUUCCAAAACCCUAUGAUUUGAAAGAACCAAAAUUAUUAUUUGGCUAUAUAAAAAAUUACCUUCAUGAGUUGGACCAUAAAAGGAGUGAAAAGACUGUUAAAGUAGGGUUUCUCUUAAAUCUUAGCACAUGAGGAUGGUGGAAUCGUCUCUAUAGGAAUGUAAACUAGAGCUCUCUUUGAAAGAUAGAAUUGUUGGGAUAGAGCUCUUAAAAAUAUGACAAGAUGUAAUAAUAAAUGAAAUUCAUUAUGACAUGAUCAAAAUUCAAAUCAAGAGUGAGAGACAAAAUGGUAAUAAGCCCGAUUACUAAAGGAGCUUGUAGAGAAACAUCUUAAUUUGAGAUAAAAAGUAGUGGAUUUUAUUGUUUUAUGUUGAUGAUAACUUAAAAUAAUUUUUUGGGAUUUUUUUAUUUUUGAUAAUUUUAUUUAGGUAAACAUUUAAAAAAAAGUUCAAUAACUAAAAUGGGAAAAUCAUGUUUUGAUUUACUUGAAAUUUGCUUCUAUUGCUAAAUAACUUAAAGUCAAUUAUUAAUGGAGGUCAAAUGGCGAUUCAUUAGCUUAACAUGAUCAAUUUUUUAUUGCAAAGGAUUAGCAAGAAGAAUAAAGUGAGUAAAAGUCUAACUACCACAUAAAUCAUACCAAACCUUUUGAGAUCAGAUCGAUAAUGGAAGGAAAAAAAAAAAAAGAUUGAAGGGUUACAGUAAAAGAAGACAAAGGGGGUCAUACCCAAAAGCCACUUAAGGGCAUGAUAAUUAUUUUAUACCUUCAGCUCCAAUACUAAAAAUGCAAAUAACUCAAACUAAUUUCUUGUAAUUAGAAAGUUACCAAUUACCAAAUAUUUAUUCAAAAUAAAUAAAAAUACAAUAUAAAAAUAUCAUAGGAAUCAAGUUUAUUUUAGGUAGGUCAUGAUCUUAUUUAUUAGGUAAAGACCCCUCUAAUUAAUUUCUUUGCCUUAAACUUACAAAGUUUCUUAAAACAAGAUUAACAUACUUUUUACUUUUAGCCAUUAAACUAUACAGCUCAACCAAGUGUGUAAGCUAAUUUCUUGUUGCUUUUGGAUAAACUUCACUUUUUCUAUUUUUAGAAUCAUAAAAUAGUAAUAAAUUUUACGUAAAAUAUAAAAGCUUUAUGAGACUUAUAUUGAAAAAGGUUACAUUAAAUUUUAAAACUAUUUGAAAAAAAAAUUAAGGCAUUAAGAAAAAAAAUUUCUAUCUCAAAUUUUAAAAUUUUUUUAAAAGUGAUUUUUAAAGAUAUAAGAUAAAUUUACAUUUUUUUCGUAUAAAAUAUUCUAUUUUUUAUACAGAAGUUUUAAUUUUAAAAACAAGAAGCAAAAAUUGUAUUAAUUCCAUGUGUUAAUGGUUUAUAAUGCUUUCAUUCUAUGUGGUUUGUAGAGCCGUAAGAGGUGAGGUUAUGUUGUAUCCUCUCCAUGUUAAAAGCUCUUCAAAACAACACUCCUUUCUCCAAAUCCGCUCCCCCGUCUCUAACAAAUUAAUCCAUGGGUUCGUUUGCUGAUGGUGCUGAUCAUGCAAUGGUUAAUUUGAAUGGAGAUAUAAUAUAUUUUUUUUCACUUAUUUAUUUUUUGUAAUUCUUGUGGAAUAAAAUAAUUUCUUUUUAAGUUGACCGUUUACGCAUAUAAUUGACAAUGUAAAGAAGCCCAUGACCUACUUAUGCUACAAAUACUUUCCUGAAAAUAUUAAGACAAAAAAGCUACACUUCUUGUAAUAGGGACACCAACCCGAACUGGUUAUUACCUCCCGAACAAUGACAACUUUGGACUAUUAAGUUAAAACUCAUACUUGUUUCAAGGGUUACCCCCUAAACUAAACUAUUGACUCGUCAUUUGACUAUAAAUACGGAUCAUAACUUCAUUAUAAGUUUCUUUAUUAUUUUUUAUUUUUUAUUUUUUAGACGAUAAGGAAAUUAUUAUAAAUUUUAUUUUCAUAUUGAAUCAUUAUUAAUUAGUUUUAUUAUUAAAGAAAGGUAGUUCUAAAUAUCUAUUUUUCAAACAUAUGAGAGAUCAUUCACAUUGCAUUUUAGGAUCUAGCAUUAAUUAGAUAUAUUUUUAAUAUAAAUAAAUUUUAUGUAACAAUAGAAUAUUUUGUACAAAAAUAUAUUUUUUAUUUUAUAUCUUUCAAAAACUUUAAAAUUACGUAUGGCAAAAAAUAUUUUUUGAUACUUCAAUAUUUUUAGACAAUUUUAAAAUCAUAAUAUUUUUUAUGUAAAUUUAAAAAAAAAUCUUAUAUCUUAUAUAAAAGCUAUUAUUGUAUUUUAACUUUAAAAACAAAAAAUAUAAAGUAUAUUGAGAUAUACACUUCCCUUUAAUAUUAAUUACUUGUAUAUAUCAAGAAGUCUUCCACAGCUUGUAAAGGAAUUUAGACUUAUAAUAGGACGGACAAUCUAGUUUCUAUCUUAUUCUGGUGGCCACUCAAUUCAACCGGUGAACAUUAUGAUAAAUCAUUAUUACAAUAUCGACUUCUCCUCCAAUGACAACCCGCCUCCGAAAGGAUGAUGUGUUUCUUUAAAGACCACUUGUUUUUUAAUCUCUGGUUGGUCGGGGUUGUUAGGUCCCAGAUGUAGACGGCAUCAAAUUAGGUCCAGUUAUAGAAAAUUUGGAGAGAUUGAAGUCCUUGGCCUAUUUUAGAUCCACAUAGGGUCAGGGCUAACUUGAGUUGAAAUGUUACAUGGCCCCAUCUUGUUAUAAAAAUUUAUAAUAUUCAUUUAUUUAUAAAUUAUAUUUAUUUUUAUAUAUUAAAAAAAUAAAAAAACUUAAACAUUUUAGAAAUGACAUUUCUAUACAAACCUCACCACCCCUAUUUAAUUUAUCAUUUUUGCUAAAAUAGAUAUAAAUAAAUAUGAUCAGUUAUAACAGAACACCUAUCUUACUGUCAUCUCUACACAAAUCUUUUAAGAAUCUUUAAAGAAUGGUGAAUAAAUAGCCUUUUCGAAUCCUCAUAAUAUCAAGUUUUGACUUGUGAUGUAUUUUUUUCCUUCAUCAAACGAUAAAUUAUAAGAUAUUUUAUAUUACUCCAAUGACUCAAAUUAUGAAGAUUGUGUUAGUAUUGUUGAUUUUCUUUAAUCUAUUAGAAUUAUUUUAAUAACCUAAUAGUGAUUGAAUGAGUCUUUACUUUAAUUUAUUAGGAUUUCGAAUUGUUAUUUUAUUAUUAGGCUAUUAUAAUUUUCUAUAUGCCAUGAAGAAUAAUUAAAACAUAUAUAAAAUAUCCUUCUCAUAAAAAUAAAAAAAUAUUUUACAUGUUACACUUGGUAUCAAAGAUAAUUUAAAACACAAACCAAUAAUAAGACAAUCCAACCCCAAUUUCUAAAUUUUGGUAAAAAAAAAACAUAAUUUUAAAAUUUUGGAGGAUUCAUAUGCAACUGUUAUUUCAAUAUCAAGAUCUUUGAGGUGUUCUUGAUCAAGAAUUUGGGAUAUCAACGAAUUAAGCAAAACUCACACAAAUAUUAAAGAUAGUUGGACAAAUUUUAGAGAAAAAGAACAAGAUUUAAAGGCUCCUCUUUAUAGCUACUAAUUGAUAGAAGUACUUAUAUUUUUUAAAAGAUUCUGAAUGUAAAUACAACAAAAGAUGUCUAUGAUGUCCUCAUUAAUAAUAGUAAAUGAGGACAAAUGUGAAAGAAAUCCAACAACAAAUCUUUGAAAAGUCAAUGUAGGCUAUACUAAAUAGAGAAAAUAUUUAGAGUUUUUCAUAGACAUUAUUUUUUGGUAAUUAGAUGAAAACUAAUAGCCACAAAAUCCAAAUUUCUAAGUUAUGGAGAUAUUUAAAAAAAAAAAAUCUAAUCAUAUGGUUGAGUGCAACAUGAUAACCUUUAAAGAAUUGAAAGAGCUUAAUACCAUGAUAUUAUAGGUUUCUUGCAAGCCCAUGGAUAAUAGUUGGAUUAAAACUCUCAAAUCAAGGUGAAAGCAUUACAAAGCUAAAUUGUCUUACAAGGUAAAAAACAAAGUGUUAAGAUAAUCUUGAAUCGAGUAAUGAAGGUCAAAAUUUAUACAACAAGGAACAAUGAAAUUUCGUAUCAUGUUAGAAAUGAGGAAAAGAUAGUGAUUCAAUUCAAACAACAAUAAAUAUCAUAUUCAAUGUUAGACUUGUAAAAUAUAUGAUCAUUACAAAUCCAAGCAUAAAGCUAAAAAACCAAAUAAGAGAAAAUUUUAGAGUAAUGAGAUAAAAUUGAAAUUUUUUUAAUGCACAUUAUAUUAAUUAUAUGUGUAGUACUAAGGAGAUGAGUCGUUUUACUUUUGAGGUGAACCUUGGGAAAUGAUAUAAUAAUGCUAUUACGUUUGAUUGCAUAGUCGUUUUACAACAUUUCCAAAAAAAUUUACUAAGAAAUAUAAAGUAUACACUUCGAAAUUUUUAAGAAAAAUGAAGAGUUAUUUUAAAAUGUUUGAUAGUAAAAUUAUGGUACAGGUAGACUGGUGGCAGGGAACACUAUUUCUUUGUGGGCUGGGGCAAGAACCUCUUGGCUAGAGAUUCUACCUCUCCGCACACCAGCUUAUAUGAACUACUUUUUGGCAUUGAUUGACGACAUUUGCUUUAUGGGGAAAAAAAUUUAUGAGCAGAGCCAUCUCAAAACUUUGGAUAUUCAACUGGACGUGAGAAAAAGAGUAUACAAUUAUUCAAAGUUGACGAGCUAUUCAUUGGGGAUUGCCCUCCCCUAAAUUCCUUCCCACGUUUAUCAAAUGGUAAUUGAUCACAAAAAGGUUCAAUUCAUUCACAAAUAUGACUCUUCUCUAGUCAAUUGGGAGUGGCGCUCAGCCAUACUCAUUUUAAUCAGAAUUGAAUCUCCUCAUCCCACAGUUCCACGAGAGACCUGUAGGGGCCUUCAUCGCUAAUGAAUUCCAGAGCUGGAACCCCUUUAAAUUGCUGAAUUUGAUCUAUUUUCUGUAUAUCCUCCGCUGUUAGCUCCCAAUCGAAUAUCGCUAGAUUCUCUUUCAUUCUUUCCUUGUUGAAACUCUUCACGACAACACUCACACCUUGUUCGUAUAUCCACCUCAAACAAACCUUCAAAAUCAACACGACCAAAUUCAAAUUGUGGCAAAAACAAUCACCACCAAGUUAAACAAAUCAGUUUUUUUUUUUUUUUGAAAAAAUAAAUUAUGAUCAUGGAGGCCAAGAAAAAAGCACAUUGGAUACCCAGACUUUGUGGGGUAGCUUUUGGAUUCUCAAUCAACACAUACUAUAUCUCCACCGCAACAUUUAAGAAAAAGCAUAUCUUUAUGUCAUUGGUUUUGCAUUAACAGAAGCAGUCCCAUCAAGAUAUGAAAAAGGAAAAAAGAUAGACAAAAUAAAAUAAAAUCUACCAUCAAUUGAUGCAUCCAGUAAAUAUGAAUUGCGAAAAAGGGUCAACUUGUUAGUGAGUUUCAGCCGAACCAGUUAUUCCUAAUUGGAAAAUUUGGAAGGAACUGAUGUAGAAGAAAGCAAGAAGCUGUUGGAUUAUGUCCUUUCAAUCUUUAUGGCAGCACUUCUAUUAUAUACUUAAAAAUGGCAAUUUUUAUGGCUCGAGAAUUUUACCUGAGCAAUCGUUUUGCCUCUUGCUUGGGCAAUUUCUUUCAGGACUUGACAUUCCAUAACUCUGUCACCUCCCCACGGUGUUCCUCUGGCACCCAAAGGAGAGUAGGCCGUGAUGUGGAUUCCUUUCUCUGUACAGAACUCCCUAAGCUUCUUCUGCUGCCAAAGUGGGUUCAUCUCCACCUUCCCAAACAGUUGUUAUGAUUAGUGGUUUUUUUCUUAAAAAGAUUAGUCGAUUUGUUUAUUUCUUGAUACACCCAUGCUUCUCAUCUUAUAAAAAGUUCAACUAUAUGAAAGGAAAAUUCAAUGUUACUGAAGCACAACACUUCCGGCAGAGCUGCCUGAAAUGAAACACUCACUUGAUUGACGGCCGGAGGGAUUGUGGCUAUGCGGAGCAAGUCAUCAAGCUUUUUGCUUGAGAAGUUGCUUACACCUAUUGCUUUGGUGAGACCGAGCUUCUGACAGUCUUCCAGGUCUUUCCAAACGGACGCAUAAUCCAUGGGGAGAAGGUCCUCCUUCUUCACGGGAAACUCAAAAUUUCCAGGCUUCAUGCUUAGUGGCCAAUGAAUGAGAUAGAGAUCAAGGUACUCCAGUUCAAGAUUCCUACAUAAACCAAACCCAAAAUGAAAAAUUAAUAGAGAAGAAAGAUCAAAUAUGCGAAGUAAUUGAUGGUAUAGCUAGAGAAAAGAAUAUGAUAAGAAGUGUUUGGUUUAUUACUUGAGUGUUUGUUGCAGUGUAGGAAGGACGCAGUGGGGGUGUGCUUUGUUUCCCCAAAGCUUUGACGUGACAAAAAGCUCAUCCCGCGAAUUAAUGAGCCCAAUCUGUAAAGCCUUUUUUAUGGCUUCACCAAGGGGUUUCUCGGAGUUGUAAACAGAAGCUGUGUCGAAGUGUCGAUAGCCAACCUUUAUUGCAUGGAGAACAGAGUCUUUCGUUUCCGAAGGGGCAGAACGAUACACAGCUGUGCCCAUGCCCACCAGAGGUAUGGCUUUUCCUGUUGAUCCCAGGGCCUUCUCCGGAAUGCUUCCCAUUUUCUCUACUCUAUCUCGUGAAAAUUAUCACUUCCUCUGAGAUCUAUAUAUAUAGGCAUAUAAUUCCCAAACCAUCAGUAUCCGUUCCUAUCACAUACUAGCAGCGCAUCAGUCUUAAAAAUUAAUCAAUACUUACCGUUGAAUGACCAACACUAUCUGACGACCGCAGUGAUCUCACACAUUUUGGAUUAUUCAUACAUGGCCGCUAAGUCACCACAGCAGUUGCAAUCCUGUUAGGCGCAAUGACCAUUUUAUUUUCUCUUUCGUACGUAGGUGGCCUUUUAUGUUGGGCGCCCUCGUAUGUGAGGGAGUAGGCCCAUAUGUUGGGAUCAAGUCAGUUACAUUAAAAAAAACCGGAGACAAGAGAAGAGAAGAAAAAUGCUAUUUGCUCAAAUUUCAUCAAUAAGUCGAUCUCGCUUCAUCUGUUGUCUAAUCAAAUUAAAAUUUGGAGGAAAGGUUUAAAACUCAAGUAUCUACAAUUUGAACGGUGGAGAUCAGAUUUUGAAUUCGAAAAAUUGAUGUUAUUGCCCAUAAACAGUAACGACGUUUUUAGUAUACUUCCUCUAAUUUUUCUUUAUUUUUGUCAAAAGAAAUUAUAUAAUCCAAGGCUAUAUGUGAUUUUGAUGUAUUUGAUAAUCUUUAAAUAUUAUUCUAAAAAAGACAGAUGUAACUCAUUAUUGUUAAUAAUGGAUGUUUGAAUUGGAAUAAAUCCCGUAAUUUUUUCUUUCAAAUUGGGGGGUUUUCCAUGUAAAAAUUUUGAUGUCUAAUUUAUUUUCUUGUUACAUGAAUUUAUUUAUUUAUUACUGUUAAUUGAUAUUGCCUAUUUAGUUUUACCUAAAGAAAUGAUAGAAAAAUUACGAUGUUUAUUGAAAUGAUAGAAAAAUUACGAUGUUUAUUGAAAUACUGUCAAUUCACCCUAACAUUUUAAUUGCUUAGUUUAUUCAGAAAAAGUUCACGGCUUUACUUGCAUUGCACAGAACACUCAAUCAUUUUGUCAUCGGCCCCACCCCAUAAUAAUAAUAAUAAUAACCAAUGCUCAUUACAUUUCCAACUUGUAAGUGGACGGAGUCAAGAUUAAGAGAAAGUGAUGUAUCAGAUACUGGCUCCGGGUUGAAGAUACAACGAUCCACCUCCUCAGCUAGUAUUGGAAAAUCAUGAAAGCUUUUAAAUGGCCGUAAUAAAGUGGAGAUAAAUGAUGAUUCCUUGCACGUUUAUGUAUAAAAUUUAUUUUUAAAAAAAGCAUUAACCACACCUACCAAAAAUCUUUUUAUUCAAAAUCUUUCUAAAAAAAUAAAUAUAUAUUAAAUAAUGAAAUAAUUGUGUUUUGAAUCUAAUUGAGCCCAAAAAUUAAGAUUUGGUCCAUAAAAAUUGUAUAAUUGAUGAAAAAGAUAUAAAAUGUGAAGAGACCAAUAUACCAUUCAAAACUAUUUUGAGUAUUUUUUAUCACAAUGUUUGAUAAACUUUUUUAUCUUAAUUUUUUUUAAUAAUUAUUUUGAAAAUUUAUUAUUUUUAGAAAACUAUUUUUUAAAAAAAAUAUAUUCUAAAAAUAUAUCAUUUAAAAAAAUAAUUUUGACAUACUUUUAGUUAUUUUUUAUAUACAUAAUUUUAAAUAUAUAUUUUCCAAGAUGUUUAAUUUUUAAAUAAUAAUAAUAAUUUAUUUUUAUUUUUUUGGAAAAUGAUGUAUUUUUUUCCAAAUCACUAAAUUAAAUUAAAUUUUAUUAAGGUUUAUAAAAGGAAUAAAAUUUAAAUUAAUGUUUUUCUACUCUUUUUUUUUUCAUAGUCAAUAAAUAUCAUUUUUGAAAAGAUAAAAAGUUCAUAUCUUUGUUCUCAAUUUUCACACUUUCUCUAAGUCUUGGGCUUAAAUGGUGAACUUAUAUGGACCAAAACUUAAUUUUUAGGCCCAAUUAGAUCCAAAACACAAUUGUCCCUUGAAUAAUUUAUUAAAGUAUCAAUCCAUGAAAAUCAAUCAUUGUUAAAUGUAUUUACAGCAACAUCUUUAAAAUAUAAAUAUAAUAAUUGGAAUAAAUUUAUUAAAGCCUCAAUUGAUAAAAAUAAACCGUGGUUAGAUGUAUUUAUUCCAAAUCUCUAUGAAUAAAAAUAAUCUUAAUUUUUUUAUGCUUUAAGGGAUUUGAAAAAACAAAAGGAGGUAAAAAAUAAAUGGUAAAGUUGUAUGGGAACAUUGUAAAAUUUUGAUUAGUAGUCACCACAAUGAGAGUUGGUUAGCUUUCCCAAGUAUUGGCCAAGGUGGUUCUUAACUAGGAGGAAUUUAAUUCUGUGUGAUUUUGAAAGUUGGAAUCCAUCUUUAUAAGGUUGUGGAAAUGCUUAGAAACCUAAGAUAUAAUUUGGGUAUAUUUUAUUUGUGAAAAAAUUGAGGUAAAAUAUAAAGGAAAAAAAUAUUGGAAAAAAAGAAAAAAAGAAAAAGUGAAUAAAGAAAAUAAAAUAUAGAAUUAAAGUUAAUACAUUAUUUUUGUAUAUUACUUUAAAUUUAUUUUACCUAUUUUAAUUUUUCUACACAAAAAUUAAAUAAUUUAAAAAUACCUAAAAUUUUAAUUUAUUUUAAUUAUAUUUGAUUUCUUUUAAUAUUUUUUUUAUUUGAUAACUAAACAUAAGAAAAUAAUUUUCCUUAGGAUUUUUUUUUCUUUCCAAUCAAAUAUAACCUUAAUAAAGCUUUUAAAAGCAAUUUUCAAAUAUAUUUUUUAGAAUGGUUCUUUAAAUUAAAUAAUUCUCCAUUAUUUCUUUAUAUACAAUACAAAAGUCGUAAAAUAUUCUCCAUAUUUUCAAUUAUUUCUCAUAAUAUUUUAUAAAAAUAAACAUUCAAUUUAUUCCAAAGAAACAAGAUACUUGUAGAAUAAAUUAUGAAAAAUUUAUUUUCAAUUAAAAAUUUAUUGAAGGUGUUUUUUGAGUUGGAAAUUGUUUUAAAUUAUUUUCAAAAACAAUAUUCAAAUAAGGUCCAAGUGCAUGAACAAUAACAUCAACAUUGAGAUUCAAAAUUAGAAAUUUGAUAUUGAGUAUUAAUUUAGUUCUGACAUUAAUAAAAAUUCAAGGAGCUUUCUAAGGAUUGCAAAGGAUGAUGUGAAAAUAACCCGCACAUUUGGAAAUUAUAAGUAUUAUAACUAAAUGUUAAAAAUAAAACAAAUUUAUUGGAAGGCAAUUGGCCACAUAAUAUGAAAAUAUCGUUUCAUGUGCACAAUUCCAUUCCCAAUAACAAUUUUAAUCAUACUUAACAAAAUAAUUAAAAUAAAAUUUAAGAGUUUUCUAUAUAUAUAUAUAUAUAUAUAUAGUAGAAUUGUUUUAGACCAAAAAAUAUUUUACAACCACCCAUAUUUUAUAUAUAAUAUAGAGUAUAGGUAUAGAUUUUUUCCCUUUUGAAAUUAUAUUUAAUCAACAGCUAUAUUAAUAAUCAAAAUAGUUAACAUAUUUUAAAAAAAAAUGUUGAAUAAACUUUAGCAAUAUGUUUGAAAAAAAAAAUAUUAAUAUUCAAUUUUUUUUUAAAAAAAUUAUAAUUAUAAUUCAUAUUGAAAAAAAUAAGGUUAAUUGAAGAGUUAUGCUCAAACAUUUUUAGCAAUUAUAUUUAUUUUUCAAUGGUACUCUUUCAAAAAAAAUUUAUUCUCAUGCAUUACUAAGUUAAAAUAUAUUAAAAGAAAUAAAUCUUUAGGCCAAUCUUUAUAUAGAGAGUUUCCUAUUAGUACUUGAAUUUAACUUUAAAAAUUUUAAACAUUUAAAUAAUAAAUUUGUUGUAUACUUCCAACCCAUUUAAUAUUUAUUAACAUUUUACAAGUCUUAUUUAUGGUGAACCAAAAAUUGUUUUUAAUAUUCAUUAAUGAUUUAGUUUAAAACCCUAUUUUUAUUUUACGAAAAAAAUAAAAAAAUUGAGAUCAAAUAUUUGUAAAAUAUCUAUAGAAACUACUAAUACUGGAAGCAUCAUUACCUACAUUGUAAUUAUUUAUUAUUCCCAUAUAUUUAUAUAUAAAUAGUUUUAUAACUCCUAUUGAUUUAUUCUUUUUACUUCUCAAUAAUUAUUACCUACUUUGCAAAAAUAUUCUUCUCUGAAAUUCUUUCUUUUCUCUUACUAUAUGGGCAAACAAAAAAAUAUUUAUUAUUCCUCCCACCAGUCUUUCUCUUCAAUUUUUUCAUUGUUGUCUCAAUGUUUAAAUACACUCCAAUUGUCUUAAAAAAAACUGUGAUAAAAAACCAAUAUUUAACUUACAAGAUGAAUCCAAAAUGUACUAUGAUGCUACACAUAGGUAUCAUGAACAAUAUGAGACUAGACCUAAGGACAUAUGAAACUCCUUUUACUAAAAAAGAAUCAAUCAAAGCCUCAUACAUUACCUACCUCCUUUUACUAAAAAGGAAUCAAUCGAAAAACAUUCUCUACCUAAUCAUUGGGAUGGUAUAAAGUUUGCUAUGGAAUAAAAGAUUAAACCAAGAAAAGUGAAUUUUUUUUUUUUUCAUGUAGCUUGUGAGCUUGAACUAGUAGAGGGAUGACCUAUUUUUGAUAUGUCCAAAGUGAAUUGUUACAUUAUUAAUACAUAUCAAUAAAUUUAAAUCUUUAUAAUGCAAGACACAAGAGAAAGGAUUGUGGUUAAGGAAGGUUGGACUUCAAGAAGUGCAAAAACAAAUGAAGUUCUCCAUAAAAAAUUUAAAAUAAUAGAAGCUAACAGAAAAUGUUUAAGUAACUCUAAGUUGUUGUCAUCGGGUUUUCCUAUGAUAGAUAACUAUGUUUUUACACAUAUUUUUCAUGCAUGUACUCUAGCCUUAAUGAUUUAUUUUUUGUUGAAUUUUAGUGUAAUUAAUUUUCAUGUUAUUGAUUCUUCUCUUUUUCUAUCUUAAAGAAAAAAAAUUAUAUUUGUGUAUAAAAGAGAAAUAAUAGAGUCAUGACUCAUUUUAAACCAUUUUUAAUAUAUUAUUUUUUGGUACAUAGUUCUGUUUUUGAGUUUCAAUUAUUUUCAAAAAUUGCUAUACUCGUUCAAAAAAAUCUAAAACCUUAAAUUUCACUUGAUUUAAAGAGUAUGAUUUUAUCUCAUCCCAUCCAUAUUAUAUAUAAUAUUAAAUAAAAAAUAUUUUAUUUUAUAUAGACAUAUAGUAAAAGAAAUAUUUUCAUAAAAAUAAAGUAUACAAAUUUAUAAUAUUAAUUUAUUUAUAAAUAAUAUUUAUUUUUUAUAUAUUAAAAAUAAAAAAAUGUUUUUUUUAAAACCGAACUAGUGAUCAAAUCGAAAAAAUUAUCAAUUCACAGUUCACAAGUCGAAUCCGUGACAUUAUAAAUAUAUAUUUUAUAUAUUAUUAAAAUUAAAAAUAAUUAUAAAAAAUAAAAAUAAUAAAUUCUACUAAGUCAUCCUAUAUCAUAUUUCUAAUACAAUGAUAAUAUAAAUCAAUAUAACACUUUUAUCAAAAAAUUACUAUCCUAUAUCCACAAAUGCUCAAUAAACUAACAAUGAUAAAAAUUAUUUAAAAAUUAGAAAAUUAGUUUCAAAUAAUAAAUUUAGAUUAAAAUAGGAAUUUUAAUUUAAAAUUAGAAAGAUUAAUUUAAAAUUUAAAAUUUUAUUUUUAAAUCAUAAACUUAUUUUAAAAUAAAAAAUUAUUUAUUUAAAAUAUAAGGACACUUUAUUUUCAAAAAUUUAUUUAAUAUUUUCAUUAAUUUAGAUUAAAAGCAUAAAUUUUAAAAAUCAUAAAGUCAAAAGAAUUACAAAUGUAAAAAUUACAAUAAAUAAGGAAACGAGGAAAUAAGGUAAUAGAGUAAAAGAUCUAAAUCAUAAAGUCAAAAGAAUUACAAAUCUAAAAAUUAAGGUAAAUAAGGAAAUAAGGUAAUAGAAUAAAAGAAAUAAACAAAAAUCGGACUUAUGCCCGUCGGAGCGGCCUCGUAGGUCGGCGAUGUCGCGUUGGCUGGGCUGGAGGUGGGAGUUUGACGGGAGCAAUAGCACGCGAGCUGGAAAUGGUGGGGUUGGUUUGUGGAGUCCGGUGGACUGUUUUGGUGUGGGAGGGGGCUACGAUUGCGGAGGGGAGAACGAGCUGCGAGGCAACGACUGAGGGGUGGUUUGUGGAGUCUUGUGGACUGUUUUGCUGUGGGCAGGGCAACAACUGUUUUGGGGAGGGGGGUGGUGUGGAGGGGAGAGAACGGGCUGGAAAAAGUGGGCGGGGCAACGAUUAUGGGAGAGGGAAAACAGGUUGGAAGAACGAAAAAGAAAGGGAAGGCAAAAAACAAAAAGUAAAAUUUUCAUUUCAACCGUUCUAUUCAUCAAAAACCACAAAAACCAAUCGGGUCAACUGGAUCACCGAUUUGACUGUCGGUAGUCGGUACCAGUGAUUUGAGGCUGGUUUAGAGGCUGGCCGGUUCAAAAGGGUGAAUCGAGACCGGACUGGUGACCAACUGACAGUCAGAUAAGUUGGACCCGUUGAUCCGAUCCGAUUUUUAAAACGCUAAAAAAAAUUCACAACAUUUUCAAAAAAUUACAAAGAAAUAUAAAAGAUACACUAAGAAAUUUUUAAGAAAAAUGAGGAGCUAUUUUAAAAUAUUUGAUAAUAAAAGUAUGGUACAGGUAGAGUGGUGGCUGGGAGAACUAUUUCUGUGCUAAAGGGGAACCUCUUGGCUAGAUAUUCCACCUCUCCUAGCACCGGCUUAUAUGAGCUAUUUUUUGGCAUUGAUUGACGACAUUUGCUUUAUGGGGAAAAAAAUUUAUGAGCAGAGCCAUAUGAAAAUUAUGGAUGUUCAAUUAGCUGUGAGAAAAAGAGCACACAAUCAUUCAAAGGUGACGAGCUAUUCAUUGGGGAUAGCCCUCCUCUAAAUUUCUUCCCAAUUUUAUCAAAUAGUAAUUGAUCGAUCACAAAAGGUUCAAUUCAUUCACAAAUAUAACUAGCUAUUUUCAAGUCAAUUGGGAGUGGUGCUCAGCCAUGCUCAUUUUAAUCAGAAUUGAAUUUCCUCAUCCCACAGCUCCACAACAGACUUGUAGGGGCCUUCAUCGCUAAUGAAUUCCAGGCCUGGAACCCCUUUAAAUUGCUGAAUUUGAUCUAUUUUCUGUAUAUCCUCCACACUUAGCUCCCAAUCGAAUAUCUCUAGAUUCUCUUUCAUUCUUUCCUUGUUGAAACUCUUCACGAUAACACUCACACCUUGUUCGUAUAUCCACCUCAAACAAACCUUCAAAAUCAACACGAGAAAAUUCGGAUUGUGGCAAAAACAAUCACCACCAAGAUAAACAAAUCAUUUUUUUUUAAUUUUUUUUUGUCUUUUAAAUAAAUUUUGAACAUGAAGGCCAAGAAAAGCACAUUGGAUACUGUGACUUUGUGGGGUAGCUCUCGGAUUCUCGGUCAACAUACAAUAUAUCUCCACUACAAUAUUUAAGUAAAAGCAGUCACAUCAUUAUAUGAAAAAGGAUAAAAGAAAGAAAAAUUAAAUCAAACCCUACAAUCAAUGGUGCAUCCACUAACUAAGAAAUUGCAAACAAGGGUCAACUUGAUUAGUGAGUUUCAGCCGAACGAGUUAUUCCUAAUUGAAAAUUUUGGAAGGAACUGAUGUAGAAGCUAGAAAGCAAGAUGCUGUUGGAUUAUGUCCUUUCAAUCUUUGUAACGGCACUUUUACUAUAUACUUGAAACAAGCAAUUUUUAAGGCUCAAGAGAAUUUUACCUGAGCAAUCGUUUUGCCUCUUGCUUGGGCAAUUUCUUUCAGGACUUGACAUUCCAUAACUCUGUCACCUCCCCACGGUGUUCCUCUGGCACCCAAAGGAGAGUAGGCCGUGAUGUGGAUUCCUUUCUCUG
rnacentral:lncRNA from 1 species